GUGGUUUGACCGAACUCACUAGCUUGUACCUUUACAGUAACAAACUUUCUGGACAAAUUCCACGAGAACUAGGUUAUCUUCUAAACUUAAAGGACCUGCAACUUGGCAUCAACACGCUCUCAGGUUCCAUUCCACGAAAUUUACAUAAUUUGACCAAGCUUACUGUGUUAAUACUAUGGGGAAACAAACUUUCUGGGUUAAUUCGACAAAAAAUAGAUUACCUUUCAAAUUUACAGUACCUGAGUCUUGGUGAAAACAUACUCUUGGGUUCCAUCCCAAAUAGCAUAGGAAAUUUGACCAAACUCACAACCUUGUCCCUUCGCAACAACCAACUUUCUGGGUUAAUUCCACAAAAAAUAGAUUACCUUUCAAAUUUAGAGUACCUGAGUCUUGGUGAAAACAUACUCUCGGGUUCCAUCCCAAAUAGCAUAGGAAAUUUGACCAAACUCACAACCUUGUCCCUUCGCAACAACCAACUUUCUGGGUUAAUUCCACAAGAAUUGGAGUACCUUGCAAACUUAGAGUACCUAGAUCUUAGUGAAAACAUACUCUGGGGCUCCAUCCCAAAUAGCAUAGUAAAUUUGACCAAACUCACAAUAUUGUACCUUUACAACAACAAACUUUCUGGACACAUCCCUCGAGAACUAGGUCGCCUCGUGAACUUAAAGGAUUUGGAGCUUAGCAUCAACACACUAACUGGUUCCAUCCCAAAUAGCAUAAGAAAUUUGACCAAACUCACAACCUUGUACCUUGACAACAACCAUAUUUCUGGCCACGUCCCUCGAGAACUAGGUCGCCUUGUGAACUUAGAGGUUUUGUAUCUUGGCCCUAACACGCUAACUGGUUCCAUCCCAAAUAGCAUAAAAAAUUUGACCAAACUCAUAGACUUGUACCUUUUCGGCAACCAACUUUCUGGACACAUCCCUCGAGAAUUAGAUUACCUUGAGAAGUUAGAGGAGUUGGAUCUUAGCAACUAACACACUAACGGGUUCCAUCCCAAGUAGCAUAGGAAAUUUGACCAAACUCACAAAUUUGUACCUUAAGAGUAACCAACUUUCUAGCCAAAUUCCACGAGAAGUAGGUUAUUUAGCCAACUUAGACUACUUGAGGCUUAGCUACAACACACUGACAGGCUCCGUCCCAAACAACCUAGGCAAUCUCACAAAAAUCACUGGCUUGUAUCUUGACAAUAAUCAACUUUCCGGCCACAUUCCUCGAGAAUUAGGUUAUUUGGCCAAUUUAGAGUGGUUGUCCCUUAGAAAUAAUUCACUAACAGGUGCCAUCCCAAAUAACCUUGGCAAUCUGACAAAACUUUAUAAAUUGGACUUUGGCCAGAACCAACUUUCUGGGCCAAUUCCAUGAGAAAUUUAAAGUAUUUAGAGCUUACCAACAACACAGUAACACAUUUCGUCACAAACAGCCUAGAGUGUCUUGUAGAAUUAUCUUUCUAGGAAAAAUUCACAAAAAUUAUCUUGUAGGAUUAUCUUUCUAGGACCAAACCCCUGCGCCAGCUCCUCCUCACGGCGAUCGACUCCACCUGCUCCUCUCCUGCACUCGUCCUCGCCGAAAAAAAAAAGAAAAGAAAAAAAGGCCCACACCCUCGCCGCUGGGUCACUCCACACCGGCUCGCUCAGCAGCGACUAGGCUGCCAUCGCCGCGACGUCCGCGCCGGCAGCCCUCGCCCUCACCGCCGUCUUCAACUGCUGGAACGCCCCCAAGCUAAAGCUAUCGCUGUUGUUUGCUCCCUGUACUUGUCCUAAACUGGAGUCCCUACAGAAAGCUACGGAGAGCAGUGAAUUAGCGAGGAGGAGAUGAGAUUGCCUAAAGUUCCCAGGGUAUGAAUUAAUUAAUGAACCAUUGCGCACGGUGUCGUUACUUACGUUGAGUAAUACGGAGUAGAUUUCAGAAGAAUCUUGAAUAAAUAGCCACUCAAUUUUGUAGUACAUUUUUUCCUGCCUGAAUGUUUAUCAUCCUUACUCUUGCUAGGGAACUGAACAGGUGACUUUGGCGGGAAUCAAAUGGCCACAAGGGGGCGUGCACUUUCAGUAAUAACAGAUGCAUUUGAGAUGCACGGUGCUGUUGAAAUUGAUACGCCUGCAUUUGAGUUGAGAGAAACCCUUACGGCCAAAUAUAUAUGAUGAAGACCCUAAGUUGGUCUACGACCUUGCUGAUCUCGUACAGACAGUUUCAAUGUCCCUUUAUAAUUGUGUUUUGCAUUUAACUCGCUCACCUGUCAUGAUCUGCUCCCUCUAAUGCUACUGAGCUACUCUGUCUGGAGCAGGAAGGCAAAGCCAGUACUGUGGCGCCCAAGGAAGCAGCGGCCCAGUCACCCUUGCCACCUGGGAGACAUGAAGGAGAGCAGGCGCUACUUAUCAGAGAGGCUGAAACGUACGUAGUGUGGGUCUUGUGUGUUGGUUUUAUUGAGACUAAUGUACCUCUCUUCUCCUCACCUUCUCCCCUCCUCCUCUCCAAUUCCUUCCCAGAUCCUCUUGUAUGUAUCAACUCUAGAACUCGAAUUCCAGCGAAGUAUGGCCAUUUGAUCUGAGACAAAGUCAAUUAGCUAGCAGGAGUAUGGAUAAACAUUUAGACAGAGAAUUGACUGACAUGUACUGAAUAUAAGUAAUCAGAACAGAAAGACAAGGCAAGAGAGGAUGUAAAUGCACAAUGGUUCAUUAAUUCAUACUCCUAGUGUCAAAAACGUUCUUAUAUUAUAUUAUGGGACGGAGGGAGUAGUACCUUGGGAACUUUAGGCAAUCUCAUCUCCUCGGCUGUGAGAGUACUACCGGUGACAGUUUUUGAAAAUUUGGCUGUGUAUACAUCCAAAAUGUAAGGUUUCAGAAAGCUCAGGAGAGUAGAUCCUACACAUAGUCAUUUGUCAUAGAAAUGGAUGCUAAUCUGAAGAACAAACCAGGAGCAGGGGGGAGAGAACAGGAUACCUCAUCUCGGCCGACAAAAAGCGAAAGAAUGAUGCGAAGUGUCAGAAUGAUGUGCUGCCAGGAAACAGAGUAGUUACUAUCACUGCAUGCAUAGCGUGUCGAUAUCGUUUCCUGGAAUUGAGACAUAGAGAGCCAUGAGCAAUCAAUUGAUCUGCAUACACAUUAAUUGCUUUGGAAAUUCAGCAUAGGGCAAAAAGUUGGAAUCACCAAAAACAAAGAGAGCUUAGAUGGUUAGAUCUGGGCAGAGUCAACAGAGCUGACCAGGUAUGUUACUGGAUGUCUCUGCAAUAAGUCAGAUCAUACCGCAGAGAGCAUAGCUCAACACCCUGCAGGUGCAGGUUAGUUGAUGGCCAGACUUGAAAGCUCAAACAUCUAGCAAUGUAUAUAAUGCAAUAAAGGACUGGCGGAGUUAAACUUGUGUGAAUAUAACUUAUAUACAGAAGCAGCACAUGACAAAUCAAUCACAAUAUGGGAUUUUCAGCAAAACCAAACACUUCCGCUAACAUUAAUUAAUUAUAAAAGGACACUGAAACUGCAUGUACCAAUUUCAACAGCACCAUGGAUCCCAAAUACGCAUGCUAUUACUGAAAGCGCACGCCGCCUUAUGGCCAUUUCAUCUCCCGCAAAGUGACGUGUUCCCUAGCAGGAUUAAGGAUAAGCAUUUAUACUGGCUAUUUGUUCAAGAAAGAUGCUUCUGAAAUCUACUGACUAUAAUAAGUAACAAAAACGUGCGCAGUGGUUCGUUAAUUCAUACCUUGUGAACUUCAGGCAAUCUCCUUGGAGUCCGUUAUGGAUAACAGUGAAUUAGCGACGGACGGUACAGCGCGAGGCCCAGCAGCGCCUAAUCUUUCUUCUUCUACUACUACUACUCAGACGUUUCUACAAACUAUACACAUAGAAAAUUUAGGACAAAUUACGGAGUACAGUAAAAAAAUGCAUUGAAAAGAUGCCAGCCAUCAUCUCUCCCCUUUAAUUACUCAACCCCCAAUAAGCUAAGUGCAUGUACAAAUUAAGAAGACCAUGCGUAGAUUGUUAUUGGUCCUGAUUACCGUGUGAUGUGAGAAAAAUAUUAUUUUUUAAUUUAAAGUGCAUUGAAAGAUAGAAGUACACUUUUCUUGGAAAACUUUUAAAGCCAAAUGUAAGCUCUUUACUUGUAAAAGAUGUGUUACAUUAUGGAACGGAGGAAGAAUAUUUUUUGUUUUAUAUGCAAAUAAGGUGUUUUAUAAAUAAAAUAUCCAUGUGUUUCAAAAAAUAUUCACGUAUAUAAAACUGUUCAUGUCUACUUGAAAGGAAAAAAAAUUGUAUCACAAAAAGGGUAUCAAACCAAAAAGAUAUAUUCUUCUAUUUUAAAAACAAUGUUCUCGUAUGCCCCAAAAAUGUCCAUGAAUAUAAUUUUUUAUGUGUUAUUCAAAAACAGCUCCCCUUGAUUUUCAGAAAGAUAACAUUUUUUCUAAAAAUGUUUAUCACAUAUUUUAAAAAAAUUAUAUGUGUUAAAAAAAGUUAAUCUAUCUUGUGUGCUUAAAAAGGUUCAUCAAGUAAUUCAUAUAUAUUUAAUCAUAUUUUUUAUAAAUAUUCAACGUGUGUUAUAAAAUGCUCAAGUUAUAUAUAAAAGGUUGACUGUGUAUUCUAAAAAUGUUCAGCUUUUAUUUUAAAAAAUGUUCAUGUUGUGUUUAAAAUUUGUUCCUCGUGCAAGAAAUAUUGCUCAUUGUGCAUGAAAAACUAUUUGUUGUGCAUUUAUCAAAAGUUUCAUCAUGUAUUGACAAAUGCACAUUAACAAAUAAUUAUGCAUUUUAUAAUAUUAAAUGUUCAACAUUCAUUCGGGAAGUUAAAAUGUCUUUUAAAAAUGACAUCAUGUGAUUUAAAAGGUUAAUCAUGUAAUUCGUAUGUUACUCUUCUAAUUCAUAUGUUAAUCACGUAAUUUUUCAAUAUUCAAGGUGUAUUUUAAAAAGGUCAUCCGGUAUAUAUAAAAGAUUGACUGUGUAUUUAAAAAUGUGCUCACCAUUUAUGUUAAAAAAUUUCAUGUUAUAUUUAUAAUUUUUUUUCAACUUGCAUGAAAAACAAUUCAUUGUGUAUAUAUAAAAUUGUUCAUCAUGUAUUGACAAAUCUUCAUGUGUAGUUAAUAAAUAUUCAUCUUGUAGAAUUAAAUGUUCAACAUGAAUUUUCAAAUAUCAAAUAGUAAUUAAAAAAUGUCCAUCUUGUAUUUUAAAAAUAAUGUUCAUGUAUUUUAAAAUUCAUCAUGUAUUCUAAAAAUAAUCAUAAUGUACUUGUAAAAUGUCCAACGUGUAUUAAUAUGUUCAUCAUAUAUUUUGAAACAUCAUGUAUUAAAAAAUAUGUAUUUAUGAAAAAGUUUUAUAUUUUAUUAUAAAUAAGAAGAUAAAAUGUUCAACUACUUUUUAUAAGAAAAAUCCAUGCUAUUUGAAAUUUAGAAAAAAAUGUUCACAAUGAAAUAAAUGUUCAUGUACUUAAAAACUACUAGCCAUAUGCCCGUGCGUUGACACGGGAUUAACAAACUUAGACAAGUAGAUAUUUGUCGAAUCGUCACUAUAAUUUGCGUCAUGCAUGUCGCAUGCAGCUUAUGAGUGUAUUCAAACAAAUAUUAUCUUGUACAAACCCAGCCUUUUGGAUCUUGGGCACUCUUGGUGCACGCUACAAAAACUCAGCCGGAGAAUUUAUCAUCUCGAAAGGUUUAGAAUAAUAAUACUUAGAUUUGCAUGGAGGGCUCGCGCUGCCGCACGAAAAAAGGCCCCUACACGGUAGGCAUCUUGGCGAGCGCGGUCGGUGUGGAGGCGCCUCCUCCGCCUCCGGCAACAAGAAUGGAGGACCCAGUUAGGAGCCUGCUGAGAUCGUCGACGACGUGGACCUCAUACUUGGCGGUCGUGUCGAGAGCGUCGGGCGAGGCACAACGCGCGAUCUCGUAGGAGAGCGCGGCAACGGUGGGCUCGAGCGAGCGGGUUUGCGCAGCAGCCAAUGGCGGCCUCGUUGCAGGUUAGUGCGGUGGCGGCGGGGGGGAGUCGCCAUGAGAGUUCUGAUGGGGGACAGUCACUUACAGUGCAUGGCACUGCACUAGUCCUAGCAACGCCUAAUCUUCUCUUUUUCUUACAUUUUUGUUUAGUUUAUAUAUUUAUUUUGAGUAAAUUGCCCAAAUAUCACUUUUUUCAAAUAAAAUAUUCAUGUAUUUCAAAAAGUAUUUGCGUAUAUAAAAAUGUUCAUACCAAAAAAUAAAUAUAUUCUUGUACAUUAAAACAAUGUUCUAGUAUGGCCAAAAAAAUCCGUGAACAUAAAAAAUGUAUGUGUAAUUUAAAACAGUUCUCCAUGAUUUUCAAAAUAUAUAACAUUGUUUGUAAAAUAUUCAUCAUAUAUUUAAAAUAUCAUUGUGUACCUGAAAAUUUCUGAAAGCAUCUUUAAAAAAUGUCAUCGUAUGCUUAAAAAAGUAUCUUUAAGAAAUGUCAUCGUUUGUUUAAAGAAGUAAUUCAUAAAUAUUAAUCAUGUAUUUUAUAAAUAUUCAUGGGGUAUUAUAAAAUUCUCAUCGAGUAUAUAUAAAAAGUUCGACUAUAUAUUAAAAAUGUUCAGCAUUGAUUUGAAAAUGUUCGUGGUGUAUUUAAAAAUUGAUCAUCGUGCAUGAAAAAAUGUCCAUUAUGCACCAAACAUUCUUCCUGUUUAUCAGGUAUGCACAAAGAUCAUGUGUAUAACAAAUAUCCAUCUUAAAAUAUUAAAUGUUCUACAUGAAUUAUAAAAAAUUAAUGUGUCAUUAAAAGAAUGUUCAUCUUCUUUUUAUAAAAAAAAUCAUGUAUUUUAAAAUUUCAUUAUUUAUUUAAAAAACUCAGAGUGUAUUAGUAAGAUGUCCAACGUGUAUUAAUAUGUCCAUCAUAUAUUUUGAAACAUCAUGUACUAAAAAAUAAUGUAUUUGGCAAAACGUUUUAUACUUAUAAGAAAGAAGCAGCUAAAAUGUUCAAGUACUUUUGUAAUAAAAAUCAUACUAUUUGAAAUUCAGAAAAAAAAUGGUCACGAUGAAAUAAAAUGUCAUGUACUUCUUUUGCCGGGUUAAUUUUCAUGUACUGGAAAAACUAUAGUAUAAAAAAAGGUUUGCAUAUCAAAAUAAUUGUUCAUAUAACUGUUCAAAAAACAACAGAAAAGGGGAAAAGCAAGAAAGCAAUAUAGAUAGAAAAAAUAUAAAAUGGGACAGAAGCAGAACAAAUAAAAGGAAAAAUAAAUAAAAACAAAACAAACAGUAAAAGGAAAGAAAGAACGGAGGAAAUCAAACUCAAAGAAAGCAACAUGAAAAAAAGUUAAUGGAUGUGCAGGAAGUAACAAAAAAAGGACUUUUUUGAAUUUUGAGUGAGGAUAAUUGUCUUAAAUUUCGGAGAAUCGGCUAUCAGCAACCGCAAGGACUAUACCAGCCUCUGUUUUUGGAAACACGUCACCAGAGAACCUUGCAAGUGUUACUCGAACCGUGACACCAAAUUUUGGCACGAUCAAGAACUUAAUUAAAAUGACCUCGAAUGGAGAAGCGGUCUACAUCAAAAAGUUCCGUAUUGUCGAAAUGAACAUCUUUGAAGUUUGGUCCAUCGCUAUCGGAUCUCAUCUCUAGAGCCGAAACUAUACUCAAAGUACUCAGAUUUUGUAUUCAGAGUAGUAUUCGGCCAAUUAAGCCUCCAAGAUGGCCUCAUAUGAAAAACAUUUUUACACGAAUUGUCUUCGUCUCAUCAAAACGGUCUAUUUUAAUAUAAUAAUCGUCCCAAUCCGACUUCGUAUGCAAAAAUUAGAGUCAUCGGAAUGCAGUCCUAUCACGAGGCAAAACAUGGCGCGCCCCACCAAACACAUGUCUGAUGGGUAGCGCGAGUAACACGCUGUUUUGCGCGAGCGAUUCGGCCCAGAAGAUGGCCUCGAAUCGAAAAACGUUCAACAUGAAAGUUGUUCGUCCCGUCGAAGCGGCUAAAUUUGUUUUUGGGUGCAUUUCCAUCCGAGAUAAUUUGUUGCCUGUGAGAGCCAAAAACCGAACCAAUGUCUCAGACUUACCUAAAUCCGAGUUCGGUUAUUAUUGGAAAGAUUUGGGCGAGAUUUGGAGUCCUUUUCUGGUACGGAAAGUCCAGUCAUCUCAUAAAUAGAUGAGAGGUGAUGGCCGAUUGAAAAACAACACACAAUCGCAAAACCCAUCUACUUUUUACCCUAGUUUUACAUCUCUCCUUGUUUCUUUCUCUCUCGUUCUUCGUUCGUUCUUCGUGUUAAAGAGCAGCGAUCCUCGAGGCUCUAGGGGCGGGCGAACCGACCUAGGGCAUCGCAUAGCCACCGCGCGUCCAGACGGGGUCCCUUCCGAACACGUGGGGUUUCGGGUCUUCAAAAGCGCCCGCCAGAUUGCUUGCAUACCGCGCUUCCGGUCGGGUCUCCUUCGACGUGAGCUGUGGUGUAUCACGACCCUCGACGUUGGAGGUACACGAUGACGUGUUCGUGUGUGAACACACUUCUUGGCGACUUCGCUGGGGAAGAAAUAUCAAGAAUCAUCAUCAACCAUGUCUAAUCUACCCAAGCCCUUAGAAGUUGACGCCGAUAACAUCAUUAAGCCCAAUCUUGAUGAACUAUCGGAGGAACAUCGCCAAGCUUAUGAACUUUCAAGAAGGACCGUCAAGGCAACAUCACUCAUGUCGGCGCGCCACCUCUGCUCUGCCGAACCUGCCGCUAAUCACCGACAAGGAGCCCCCUGCCCUCCGCCGUCUCCUCCCGCCUCGACCAACCCCAUCCAAUCCCCUCCUCAGCUAGACAGAGGCAGCCGCCCACCGAUUGAAUAAAAAAAUCAAGAAAAAAACCAUGACACGGGUCGAAAAGAGACCCAAUGAAAACCUGCGACAAAUGAUGAGCCGUUACGCGCGACUGAGGUCUGAGGACACGCGACGCGCAGAGAUUCGUGAUGGUUCGAACGGACAGAAAAAUGACCUGAAGCGAAUUUAAAAACAGAUUUCUGAAAAAUAGUAAAUGUGAAGAAGAAAUGAAGUACGCGCCGCAUAGAAAUCAGAGUCGAUGGACGGAAGGUCCCAGUCAAUGGUGAUGUUUCCGGUCGGAUCAAGCGGGUCGUAGUGAGCUGCAAGAGACACGGUGAAGUGAAUUAGCAAUCGCGAAAUCAAAUCGGCAAGAAAUAGAGCACGCAUCAGGAGAAAUCCAAAGAAGUUCUGUAGCAGCGAAGCCGAAGCGGCAAGGAACAGAGCGCAUGCAUGCAUCAGGAGAAAACCUGAAGUAUAGGCGAAAUCAAAGCGGCAAGGAACAGAGCGAAUUCAUCAGGAGAAAACAAAUGAAGUAGUAGUACUUGGAUCAUAAACAAUAAUUCAUAAAUCCUAAAACCCUAAACCCCUAAACCGGCACUAAACCCCUAAUCCGGCCGCGAUGAACCGGGACUAGGNNNNNNNNNNNNNNNNNNNNNNNNNNNNNNNNNNNNNNNNNNNNNNNNNNNNNNNNNNNNNNNNNNNNNNNNNNNNNNNNNNNNNNNNNNNNNNNNNNNNNNNNNNNNNNNNNNNNNNNNNNNNNNNNNNNNNNNNNNNNNNNNNNNNNNNNNNNNNNNNNNNNNNNNNNNNNNNNNNNNNNNNNNNNNNNNNNNNNNNNNNNNNNNNNNNNNNNNNNNNNNNNNNNNNNNNNNNNNNNNNNNNNNNNNNNNNNNNNNNNNNNNNNAACCUUUAGUCCCGGUUCCUGAACCGGCACUACUUACGAAUCGGGACUGAAACCCGUUUCUGCACUAGUGAAGGUUAACCCAUCUUAACUUUGUUUGUCGUGGUAAGAACCUUAGGAUCCUCUGAUCUCUAUUUUUGGCUUUACUGUGGUGCAUGCGUGCCAAAUACUAACCAAUGGGUGCAUGCAUCUCAAAAUGGUCACACUCGUCUUCCAUAUGUAAGGAAUCCUUUUUUCUAUAGUUGCUUGCAACUUGAAGAUACUCACGUUUCACUAAGUUACAAAUUUGAAGGCUUGUGCAGACCAAGAUUCGAGUAGGACUUCUUUGGCCAGCUGCAAGAAAAAUCAACGAUCUGAAUUCCGAAAGUAUAGUAGAGAGAAAAAAAAAGAAGAGAUUCGACGUUCGGAAGCACCUCCGGUCUACGGUCCACACCACACCACACACGGAGUGCACAAAAUGAUAAGAUUGCAAUGUAAUAAGCACUCAUUACCAAACUGUAGACUAGAUGGAUUUUGAGAAUAUGAUUCGCGUGUAUUGCAGCCCAUAGGACGCAUAUAUAUAGAGAGGUAUAAAAGCAAUCCUAUACUUGUACUCCAAGAUCUAAUCCUAGUUAAAAGGAAAUGAUAGAUGUGGAGAUAGAGAUAGGAAGGUAAAGAGUACAUCACGUAUAUGUGCUAAUACAUGCUAACUUAUUCUUACACCCCCGCAGUCGAAGCGUCGUCAUAGAAGAUGCCAAGACUCGAUCAAAAAGCUUUGAAUGAAGACAAAGGAAGCCCCUUAGUCAUGAUGUCUGCAAGUUGAUGAGUCGUUGGGAUGUGAACAACACGAAACUGUCCCAAAGCCACCUUCUCGCAUACAAAAUGAAUGUCCAACUCAAUAUGCUUCAUCCAACAAUGAUGAACGGGGUUAGCAGAGAGGUAUACCACAGAUAUAUUAUCACAGAACACCACAGAAGCCUUGUCAAUGACACAAUGGAGCUCGACAAGAAGUUGACGAAGCCAGCAACAUUCAGCCACGGUGUUAGCCACCGCACGGUAUUCGGCCUCAGCACUCGAGCGAGAGACAGUAGGUUGGCGUUUGGAGGACCAAGACACCAAAGUGUCGCCGAGAUAAAUGCAAUAUCCUGAAGUAGACCGACGAGUGUCUGGACAGCCAGCCCAGUCAGCAUCCGAAUAAGCAGCAAUUGCAAUGGAGGAACUGCCGGCGAUCCUAAGCUCGUGAGAAGUACUGCUGCGAAGAUAGCGAAGUAAGGGCUUGAUCAGUCCCCAAUGAGUGGCAUGCGGAGCAUGCAUAUGUAAGCAAAUCUGUUGGACAACAUACGCGAUGUCUGGACGUGUCAAGGUGAGGUAUUGAAUAGCACCAGCAAUACUUCUGUAGAAGGUGGCAUCGGACACAAGUUCACUAGCGGAAGAGGAGACCUUGGGUUUUGUGUCAACAGGCGUGAAGACGGGCUUACAAUUGGACAUAGCAGCACGAUCAAGAAGCUCCUCCACAUAUCUUUCCUGAGAAAGAAAGAAACCACAGGCCAUGCGACCAACAUGCUUGCCACAUAUGUCAGGACAUUGAGAAUGCGGGUCUGCUAUUUGUACUAACUGCGAGUGUUCCCCCAGGUUUGCACUUCCGAAUGCGAGUGCCUUGAAGAGGUAGCUGAACUCCUCAUAUGUCAGGACAUUGAGAAAAUUUCUCCAUCUUUUUAAGCCUACUUAAGAUUAUCACUUUGCUUCUUCCAUCCAUGCUUGCCACAUAAGAAUAAAAUGCGGUCCAAUCCUUUUCAUCCACAUCUGAAUCAAUCUCAAUAACUAUCAAUAUCCUCCCCGUCCCUGACAUGGCACUUCCUCUAUCCGCUAUUGUAUAAAAAUCGGUUUCAUUCAAGCGCAUAAUUGAAGAGAAGUGUGAGCAUACCCUCUCAUCCUUGCAUACAUGCGCAACCAAAGUUUUCUUCCCCACCGCAAGCCCGCUAAUGAUUGGAAGAACGGCUGGCGUGGCAGCAGUAGGGCUGUCUUGCAAGAGGAAGCUCAAGAUCAUCUGCUUUUCAGAAUGGCGGCCAAACACAAAGUUGUCAAUGUAAAGAUACACCAUGAAACUCCAUGAGAUGUCUUGCCUUGUGUUUUCUAGCACUCCCAUGAAUUAUAUGAAGAACGUUUGAGAUGAAAUAAUGUGUUGCUAACCUCCUCCUCCUCCUCAUCCGCCAUAAGAGUCUCCUUGAGGGAUCCGUAGUUGAACGCGCCCAUCGCCCAGUAUCCUCGAUACAUGGCGUCCGUGAGCAUCUUGAGCUGUACCAGCAUCCCAGAGUUGGUGAUGUACCGCCCGUCCGCCUCCUCGACGACGGUGUGAACUCUAAGGAGCAGUCGCUGCAGCCUCUGCAGACGCUUCUCGUCAGAGCAUGCAUGGCAUGAAUACCUGUUGGUGGGGAAGGAGAUGAAUCGGGUCACGAGCUCAUUUGUUACUACAGAUAUGGCAAAUUCCAUCUCAGAAAUCCUCCAAUUAAACUGUAUGUGUGGCUAUUGAUUGAGUUGGAGAGAGGAGACGGGAGGAAACUGAUCGCUGAUGCAGCUAUUGAGUAGCUCUUCACAUGGUGGGCUAUCAAUUAUUGGUUGCACUAUAGAACAAACGUCCCUUUCGCCUACCUAACAUGUUAUGCGUUGAGUUAUGUAUGGAAUUGAUAUAUACGUUACGUUUCUUCCUCCAGGAUGUAAAUUAUCUUCCUUACGCGAUAGAUAGUCACAAAUUAAAGAAAAAGGUCCCACGGAAGCAAUGCUCUAGUAUUAACACUGCAUCUCCAAAGCUUAAAGAACAGCGAACAGCCACAAUGGUGCAAUCAAGGAAAUUCAGUGCAGCCUUUGCUGACUAAUAUAAGGCUGAACAAUUGGACUAUUAUACUGAUACAGACCAACCUUUUUGAAAUGAUGGUGAGAGCCAUUGGUAACCAAGAUAUGGUCGACAUUCUCCCUGGAACACUCUGCACGACUUUGGUGGUCAUCGGUCAUUUGCCAUGUUGAUGAUGAUUGACAUUGUCCUUUUCACCAGCCACUGCUAUCGAACAGUCGUCUGCAGCUAGGUGUCCGGUCUAGUUAUUUCAACGAAUGGUCAUUGCCUUGUUGGAAUAUUCUACUGUAACAAAGUUUCUGGUAUAGGAAAGUUAAGGGACACAAAUAAAAUCUUCUUUUGGUUGGACCAAAUAGCGAUUGUUGGAAUAUGAGACCAGCACUUGAAGCAUGCAUACGGCAGGCAAACAUACAUUUGUCACGUCGAAUGGUUUUUUCUUUUGAAUCAUCUCAGUCCAAGGCCAUUUGCAAAAUUCACUGCCAAAACAGUCUGACCUCACCAUGUCCAGAAGACGGUGCCAGACACCAGACAGUCAUGUCUGAUACAUGAUGCAAGUUAUUCUGCCCUCAAGAUUGACUCAACUGAAAAAGUGAUCAACAUUAAACUUGUCGGCAUCAUCGAGGCGCACAAGUUUGCUUUUUUGCGUCAUCUCCAUCUAGGGUCAUAUGCAACCUCCAAAGCUACUCGAUUGGUUUCGUACCGAUCGAUCGUCUUAUAUACUUCCUACUUCGGUGGCGCUGAGCUCACGCCACCCACGACCACGACAAUGCAGAUCUAGCUUGGUCAAGACCAUCACCGGGCAGACUCUCACACUCGAGGUCUAGAUGAUACCUACCACAAGUGCACCAGUGAUCAGCAUCUCUUGCUUGGCAUACAUAUAUUCUUGUAGCACCUCGUGCGCUUUGCCUCAUAAAGCCAAUGUACAAUUGCACUUUUUUUUAAUAUCUAGCAUUCCGAGGACAUUGUCACAAUGUAUUAUUGUUGUUUAUUCCGAGGAAGUAUAAGGCUGAACAAUUGGACUAUUAUACAGACCAACCUUUUUGAAAUGAUGGUGACAGCCAUUGCUGACCAAGAUAUGGUCGACAUUCUCCUUGGAACACUCUGCAUGACUUCGGUGGUCAUCGGUCAUUUUUCAUGUUGAUGCUGAUUGACACUGUUCUUUUCACCAGCCACUGCUAGCGAAUGGUGACGCCUCUGGAAUAGUCGUCUGCAGCUAGGUGUCCGGUCUAACUUAUUUCAACAAAUGGUAAUUGCCUUGUUGGAAUAUUCUACAAGAAUUUCUGGUAUAUCUUCUUUAAGUUGGACCAAAUAGCGAUUGUUGGAAUAUCAGACCAGCACUUGCAGCAUGCACACGGCAGGAAAACAUACACGAGCAUUUUUUUUCGAAAAGGGGGGACUCCCUGGCCUCUGCAUCCGAACGAUGCAUACAACCACCUUAAUAGAUAAAGAAAGAGGUUCAACAAGGUCCAACAGUCUGAAAUAAAAGUAAUGGCAAGCUCACACAGAGCCACAAUGCCAAAGAAAAAAUCAAGAGGCCACAACCGGCUAGCAUAACAAAGAUAGAUAAACUAAUGGCCUAUCCUAUUAUAUGACCGCCAUCCAAACCGGUUGAAGAUAUCCCAUGCUACCAUCUCUCACCGGAUAGAUCCAGUAACCAAACGCUCCCUGGCCUCCGUCGGAGUGAGUAAUGACCACAUACGGAUCAGCGCAGUAGCCCGGAAGAUAAUCUGCAACAAAUGGAUAGUUGUUGUUCUGUUAAAAGCCAAAUCAUUUCUGCAGUUCCAAAUUACCCAUAACAAAGCACAUACUCCUACGCGAAUGUGUCUAGCUGUUUCGGACUCUAUCCCAGCAAGCCAUGUUCCAAAUAACGUACUAACAGAAUUCGGAGGAGUAAUGUUAAAGGCAAUGUGCACCGUGUGCCACAACACUUUGGCCAACGGGCAAUCAAAGAAUAAGUGCUUGAUAGUUUCAUCCCGAUCACAUAAACUACACCUAUUAGAACCUGUCCAGUUGUGCCUAACCAAGUUAUCCUUUGUUAGAAUGACUUGUUUAUGUACAAACCACAUAAACACUUUAAUUUUCAAAGGAACUUUGACUUUUCAAACAAAUUUGGAACUAGGAAUGGCACUAGAGUUGAUGACACCGAGAUACAUUGAUUUAAUUGUGAACUCUCCAGACCUAGUGAGCUUCCAGCGCAACUGAUCGGACUGAUGAGAUAGCUGAGCCUCCAUCAGUCUACUCACUAAAUGGAGCCACGCUUCCCACCGGUUGCCAACAAGCGUCCUUCUAAACUGAAUAUUAAGGGGAAUGGACUGCAAAAUCAUUGCAACAAAAGCAUCACGAGUAUGCCUAUGUUUCUCUUAUCCUUCUUCGAAGUCUCAGUUGGUGUUAGGAGAAGGCUGGACUUCUAUCGAUCCCGAUUCUUUGGCAGAGCGAUGAACUAAAGGGAAAAUACAGACUCGCUAAAUGGGAUAUCAUCUAUCGACCAAAGGACCAGGGGGGUCUUGGUAUCGAGAAUCUUGAAGUCAAGAACAGAUGUCUUCUCAGUAAGUGGUUGUACAAGUUAUCAGUUGAGACUGAGGCCACGUGGGCGCAGAUUCUUCAUAGUAAGUAUCUACAGUCCAAGACUUUGUCCCAGGUGACAGUGAGACCGACUGACUCGCCUUUUUGGAAGGGGCUUAUGAGAGUCAAAGCAACCUUCUUUAGUAGGACAAAGUUUAUAGUUGGUAACGGCAACACCACUCGCUUCUGGAAGGAUACUUGGCUUGGUGAAACGCCGCUGGCGCUUCAGUAUCCUUCAUUGUAUAGUAACAUUUUUUUUCGAAAAGGGGGGGCUCCCCGGCCUCUGCAUCAGAAUGAUGCAUACGGCCAUCUUAUUAACCAAAAAAAAAAGUGCCACAAGGUUCCAAAGUCUCCAUCUGAAAAAAGAAAAAGAUGGCUCACACAGAGCCUAAAAGGCUAGAUAUACAAACUAGCCAGGAAAAGACGCCACAACCGGCUGGCUAAAGGUAAACUAAUUGCCUAUCCUAUUACAUGACCGCCAUCCAAACCGGUUGAAGAUAUCCCGAGCUACCAUCUCCCAACGGAUGGAUCCAGUAACCAAAUGCUCCCUGGCCUCCAUCGGAGUGAGUAGCGACCACGAACGGAUGACUGCUGUAGCUCGGAAAAUAACCUGCAAAAAAUGAAUCUGUGAUGUUCUAUUAAAAACCAAAUCAUUUCUGCAAUUCCAGAUAGUCCACAACAUAGCGCAAACUCCAACCCAAAUAUGUCGUGCUAAGUCAGGCUCAACCCCAUUCAGCCAUGUCCCAAAUAAUGCGUUGACAGAAUUCGGUGGAGUAAUAUUGAAAGCAAUAUGGACCGUCCGCCAAAGAACUUUGGCCAACGGGCAAUCAAAGAAUAGAUGCUUGAUCGUCUCAUCCCGAUCACAGAAACUACACCUAGUAGGUCCUGUCCAAUUACGCUUUAGCAAGUUGUCCUUUGUUAAAAUAACUUGUUUAUGGACAAACCACAUAAACACUUUAAUUUUUAAAGGGACUUUGACAGCCCAGACAUACUUGGAAGUUGGAAUGGAGUUCGAAUUAAUAAUAUCAAUAUACAUUGAUUUAACUGAAAAUACUCCUGAUCUAGUCAACUUCCAGCAUAAUUCAUCGGGUUGGUGAGAAAGUUGAACCCCCAUCAGUCUUCUAACUAGAUGGAGCCAUUCUUCCCAACGAUUGCCCGCUAGCAUCCGUCUAAACUGAAUAUUAAGGGGGGUAGAGUGAAAUACUGUUGCCACGAACACCUCACGACGUUGAGCAAUCCGAUAUAAAGACGGAUAUACAUUGUAUAGUAACAUGCACGAGCAUGUAAGGGAUCUUCAAUGCGGGACCGUAUUGACACCACUUUUUGGCAUGUAUGAUCAAGUCCUCAAAACUAUCUCAAAUGAAGAAGUGUUUAACAUGGAAAUUCCUCCCCUCGUCGCAGCGAACUAUUUUGCCUUUUGAAUCAUCUCAAUCCGAGGCCGUUUGCAGAAUUUAAAUAUCAUACAGUCUAGUGUGUAUUGCUUGCUAAAAAGAAAGAGGGGAUAGACAGCAGCCGACAUGAACGUGAGGUGGCAGCAUCCGCCCGUCCUGUGGUCGGAAGGCGGAUGAUUUUCAGGCCCCGAGCGGAGUCGACCUGACGCCUGAAACUGACCUAAAGCUACAACCAAGUAUACAAGAGUUCAGAAAACAUAGCAGAAGCAGAGGAAGCUACAUGCAAGUAUUUAGAGUUCAGAAAACAGAGCAUAGCAGAUGAAAGCUAGCUACAGGCAAUAACGAUGACAGGCAAACAGAGCAAAGCAGAUGCUUGAUUUCCUAUCCUUGUCCACUGCCUUGUGCCUUCACUUCUCGCUGGUGGCCAGAGUCGAGUCAAGGUCCACAAAGGUGAAGUCGCUGGAGUAUUGAGUUUGCAAUCCAGGCCCUGGUCUCAAAAGACAGAUAUCAUCAUCAUCAUCAUCAAUGGACCUCCAAUAUUGAACUGCCUAUGAAUAUGCUAGAAUAUUGUGAACUGGAAACUAUCAGUAUUCAAAGAUAUGAUUUGUAGACAGAUUGCAAAGCUAGAGUUUCUCAUCAAGAUGGCCAAGUGAUGAGCUGGAUCUUUCUUCAGGAGCCAAGGUGUCUACCUAGUAGAAAUCACUGCUGAUGUUCCCUUUCCAUUUUCUUACCCACUGGAUUUCUUCAUAAAAUUGUUCUGUUUUGUGUGCAGUGUCUGCAUUUGAAAUAGUAACUGAACCUUCUGUCCUUUCAAUUUUGGAGGAAGCAAUUGUGGAACUCUGGAAACAGGGUGAACAGCCUAUGAUAGAUCAUUGUCUAGUUGCAUUCCUACACACAGACACACGCACACAAAACAUAAUCCGUAUCCAGUGUCUGAAGUGAGAUGACACUAAAUCUAUUCAAUGUUCCAGAAUAUUGAUGUUUUAAAUGGUACUCCCUCUGUAAACUAAUAAGAUAAAUUUUUGUCGUUAUUUUUUUACAGAGGGAGUAAUAGCUAGGGAUGAAGAUAACCACAGACUGUCCGGUGAGGUUUUUUUUUUACACUUCUGCAGUUAACUGUUUUCAUCCCAUGAUUCGAAGCCUUUGAGGUUCUUCUCUAGUUAACUCUUUGGCUCUGCUCAUAGUGACCAGAAAAUUUGUGGCCAAAACUUUACGAGAUCAAGUGCGCCCGGUCGACGGGCCACCAGAUGGGUCCAUGGAGAAACUGUGCCCAAGGGCAAGCUUUUCAUCUUUGAGAAGUGCCGACGCCUCGGCGAGGACGUCAAGCGUUCAUAUUCAGACAUGCGUUUCGACAUCUCAUGGUUGAUUCGAGGCAAUUGGCACUUGGAAGAUAGGUUUUUGUUGUGAUAGUUGUAUAACCAUGUACGUGUCNNNNNNNNNNNNNNNNNNNNNNNNNNNNNNNNNNNNNNNNNNNNNNNNNNNNNNNNNNNNNNNNNNNNNNNNNNNNNNNNNNNNNNNNNNNNNNNNNNNNNNNNNNNNNNNNNNNNNNNNNNNNNNNNNNNNNNNNNNNNNNNNNNNNNNNNNNNNNNNNNNNNNNNNNNNNNNNNNNNNNNNNNNNNNNNNNNNNNNNNNNNNNNNNNNNNNNNNNNNNNNNNNNNNNNNNNNNNNNNNNNNNNNNNNNNNNNNNNNNNNNNNNNNNNNNNNNNNNNNNNNNNNNNNNNNNNNNNNNNNNNNNNNNNNNNNNNNNNNNNNNNNNNNNNNNNNNNNNNNNNNNNNNNNNNNNNNNNNNNNNNNNNNNNNNNNNNNNNNNNNNNNNNNNNNNNNNNNNNNNNNNNNNNNNNNNNNNNNNNNNCUCCUGGGAGUACGUACUCCCGCUCCUCAUAUACCACAUAAAAAUUAGGACAUAAAUUAGGUAAUUGCCCGUGCGUUGCAGCGGGGUCAUACAAACUCAAAUUGUAUGUAUAACAUUUACCCUUAAUUAGAACAUAAAUACUGUCAACUUUUUUUAGCCGAUAAAUAACUUUUGUUGUUGUUUUUCUUCUUCUUCGCUUCAUGAGCUGGCCCUCAUUGUUGCUGUCGGUGCUGCCGGUAAUGAAAUUGCCAUAAUAUCAAUUAAACUCAACAUGCUAUAUAACUCCAUCGUUUAAAAAUAGUUCGACCAGCUAUGUCUUUUACAAGAAGUACCAAAAACCCAUUGUGUCUAUUCUCGUAAUCGUAAACUAUCUAGUACAAGCCCGCGUGGACUUUUUAUAUAGAGCACACAUUCUAUGUACUAAAUUAACUUAGAAUAACCUGAAACUCAUUAAGAAAGAGGAAAAUGUACUUCCUUCACUAACAAAACAUGGAUUCCCUGCCUUUGAAGAAGCAGACAAAUCAACCAGGCUAAGAUCAAGACUCACCUUCAUCACACACAAAAAUAGAAAAACGAAAACGCAUGCUGGAACCCGGUCCAACGGCAACCAAGUUGAUUCGCUGGCCUGCAAGAUGGGAAUUACAAGGGUGUACAUGAUCUCUUACAUGGGCCAUGCAAGGCAUCCCCGAAGAAGGAUGGCAUGCAUAUUGAUUUUUGCGUUGCACCUCUCCAACUCUUUUGCUUGAACUCAUCCAUGGCUUGGAAGAGAGAGGGCACUACCUGAGAUUUUCUGGAUCGCGUUGUUUUUCAGAGAGGGUCGGCUGAGAGAGAGAGAGGUUCGAUAGCCUGGCAGAGGAAGAGAUGCGGCAAAAUCGGGAGACAGAUAAUUUCGCUGGAGAGAGAUAUUUACGCGUGAGAGAUUACGGGAGUACAUUCAGGGAAAGAUAUAUUUUCCAUAACUAUUGUCUGGGAUUUAUUUUCCAACUGAAUGAUUGGGAGAUUGGCUAUGUGAGGGAUAUUGGCCCUUGAUUACAGGAGACCGAUCCGAGUUUAUUGGGUCACCAAAGAAUAUUUAUUAGGUUACCAUCAAAAGACUAAUGUGAUCCUGCCGGUUAAAUAAAAAUCGUGUGAAAUAGAAAAUCAGGACGGGGAGGAAAAUCAGAGGAGGGGUGGGGAGGGGCGGACGAAGAGGUUGGACGAAAAAUUGACGUAUGACGGGAAACGAAACGCUCCGUUUCUUUUAGGUAGUAUAUAUAUACUAGCAAAAGGGCCCGUGCGUUGCAACAGGAUUUUUUUUAUAAUCUUUAAUGGCUAUGAUCACAUUUUGCUGCAUUACCCAGAUACAAUACCACUCUCAAUUUUGUGAAAUCAUGAACACAUUUUAAACGCAUAAACAUAUUUGAAACCGUGGUCAUUUUUCAAGUUCAUGAACACUCUACAAAUUUUUGAUCAAUUUCAAAAAUUAAGGAUAUUUUUCAAAUUCAUGAAUAUUUUAUAUUAUUUGCAAACAUUUUUAAAAAUUUGCAAACAUUUAAAAAACAUUUCUUGAAUCGGCGAACAUUUCUUGAGUGGAUGAACAUUGUUUUGGAAAUUGGUGGGAUUUCUUUUGAAAUUCAUGAAUAUUUUUUAUUUAACGAACAUUUUCUGAAAUGCAUAAUCUCUUUUGAAUCAGCGAACAUUUUAUGCAUGAAUAAACUAUUUUGUAAGUCACAAACGAUUUUUUAAUUUUUAAGAUAUUUGUUCAUUCAUGAACAUUUUUUAAAUUGGCAAAUUUUUAUUCAAUUUCAUUAACAUUUUUUCAUACAUGACCUUCUCAAAAAAUCAUGAACAUUUUUUGAUUUAUGGAACAUUUGUUUUCAAAGUUUCGAACAUUUUUUGAAUAAGCAAACAUUUUUUAGAAAAUUGUGAACACUUUUUGAGGCCACAAACAUUUUAUGAUUUAUUUAAAAAAAUAUUUCAGAAUUCCCAUUUCUUUUAAUUUGAGAACUUUUUGAAGUCCGGAAUUAUUUAAAGUAGAAAGAAGAAGGCAGAAAAAAACAGGCCGCUUGGACAUGGACCGGGCCAAACAGGCGUGCUGCGUCUUCUCCUAGAGCGCAUAGAGCACAGUAUAGGAUGUCCUACUGCAUGAGUCGGCCCAGUUGGGGGAUUGCCCUGUGUAAAACGUUUUUUACCACAUAUAGAAAAAUGACUAUGUGUUGUACCGUGUGCAUAAAUAUAUUAACUGGUUAACAUCAACGUCGUAAACAUGGACAACACAUCAUAUUCUCAAUUUUUUUUCUUUUAGAAAAAAUCACGGCGUCAAUUAAAAAGUCACAAUUUGCUAGUAACAACCCUCAGUUUUAUGACCUAGACCGAAGAGAAGCAAACAUUAGUUGCUCACGUGAGUAGAAAAAGAUCAAGGAGACUAACCUUAGAAGUGUGUCUGACUUGCUUCAUCCAAUCCUUAUUAUUAGUCACGAAAAAAACCUACAAGGACAAUAGUAGGCACUAAAGAAUUAAAAUAGAAUAGCAGUUUUGUGACCUGCGGCAAAGAUGUAUAAAAGAGUGGAACUAAUGUCACUCCAUGAAAAAAAUCAUAACAUGAACCAAUCCUUGUAAAUACAAAAGAUCUGGGAGUGUACGUACAUGAGUUCAGCACCAGCUACAUGGUUACUUCAUGUUAAUUGAAUACCAAUGAAGAAGCACAAAGCUAACUAACAGAAACAAACAAUUCAUGGUUUAGCUAUAGUAGUAUGCAAAAAACUAACUAACAGUAAGGAAAGCAUCAGAAUAGAUCUGAGUAGCAAGCACCAUCUAUAGUUUUCCAGCUUUGUCUUCCCUGAAUUUUUUAGGUUGGGCCAACCCGAACCAAAUAUGUGCAGCAACAAAGAUGAUACUGCUAUAUGGUAGGAUUCUUGAAUACUGUUCAAAGAAAGAAGAAGAUUAAUCUUACACUUGGGGGUAACACAGACUCGUAUAGCAUGGCCUUUCUGAACCUAUAGUCUUGCAAUGGUAGAUCCCGCGGCUAGGUUUGUGAUGGAGGAGAGUGCUGAGGCCGCCGGCGACAUAGUCGGCUCCUCGCGAAACGACUAUCGCAGUAGAUGUGGUCGCGCCGUAGGCGGCAACACUUGUGUGCGAUGGGAGGGCGAGGUAGCCGCAGUUGUACUCGUAGGCGAGGCCGGUGUCGGCAUGGUCUACAGCAAUUAGCACGUACGUAACGGUAUGGGGCAUGCUGCUGCUACUGCUUGAAGCUACCGAUAGCAAUGGAGGAGAUAGCAUGAAUGUGCCAGGUGAGAGGCAAAGAGAACGUCUUUGAUUUCUUGGUUCAAUCCUUGGCUUGUAACAACAAAUUUUUCAGAAAAAGUAAACUCAAACAGGGGCUUGCCGCUUGCAUUUCUGAUUAGCUGAAACAUAAUGCAAAAUACAUAAAAAAGAUGAAGUAGUUGGUUUAAAGACUCCAGUGCAUUUCAGCCAAACUAUAAUUGUGAGCAAUCGGAAGUAGCACCAAAUUUUCAGAAAAAAUAAACUGAAACAGGGUAGAUCCGAAGGGGGGAAAAUCAGUUACAUUCAUUAUACAACAAUGCAAACAAAGGAAACUCGGUUGAAUUCAUCGAUCAUACAGUGGUGUACCAACUAUAGUAACAGUAAAAAAACAACUACUGUGAGGAACACAGGCACCACAAGUUCACAACCAACGCAGCAACGCUAUUUUUGAGGGGGUCGAGGCAUUACAUACCUCUGGUGUAGCCCGCCGUUGGCGAUAUUGGACGGCUCGACGGAUGUUCUUCUACCUCCGGCAAACUCGGCACUUCUUCCUCCGGCGAACUUGAAGGCGACACGAUGCUUUUCUGGUCCAAGUACUCCGGGAUUUGAUGGAUUUUCUGGUCCAAGUACGCAACCUGAUGGAGAUUCCGGCCAAGGACCCUUCCUUCUUAUAGCAGCGAAAUUCAAUCCGGGUCGGGCACUCCACUGAUUUCUGUUGGAGAAGGCCACGGUCAUGAAUUCAACCCAAAUCAGACAAGGGAGCAGGAUGUUACCAGACCUAACAAUUAACGCACGACAAUUGAUCAAGAACAAUUAACCCAUAUGUACCAAGCCAGGCUCCUUUGCUUGCUCCCGCAACAAUUACCAACAAAAAACCCGGCCACAUCCAACAACAUGCUAUAUAGGAUCGCAAAAAGAUCCACCUUUAGCCAAGCUUGCAGCAUUGUGCAUAUGAUUUUUUACAUCAAGUGGCGCUUUGGAAGUCAUGAGUACACACCCAAUACCGACUGCACAAGAUAGAAUGAAUUUCAGAGUACAUGUACAUGUACAGAACAUGGAAGCACAUAAAAAUUCAGAGUAAGAAAUUUAUCAAGGAACAUGGUAGCACUUGGGCUGCAGGCAGAAAUUCAGAAAACAUGAUAGGUCUGCACACAGUAUUAGAGAGAACGUGAUUACUCCAAGUUGCUAACUCGAAUUAGCCUGCAACCAGAAGAGGCAACACAGCCAUGUGAGAUUGGGAGGAGCGCCAUGGGUAAUGGACGGGGGGCAGGGGGAGGUGCAAUGUCCACUGGUCGAGCAGGUUGUACCUUGCCAUGAUGAGUGCGCAGACUGGGGAAGUGGACGUCCUCUGCUCCGGCCGCCCCUUGGCUAGCCGACGCCGUGCCUCAUUGCCUUGGCCGCCUCUGCCUCCUCAUGUUGCCCGACAACUACCCCCCAUGCUCCAGCCCGCCGCGCAGCAGAAGCCGUCUCCGCCGCCGGCAACGCCGGCAAGGGCGCCGCCCCUCACCGAGCACACGCCCAGGCGAGGCGUCCUCCGUCCUCCCGCGCAAGGCACGGCGGACGCCUUCUCAUCCUCCUCUGCAUCCGUAGCCGUCUCUGCCGCCGACAAGGAUGCCGUCUCCGCCGCCGACAAGGACGCCGCCGUGCCGCACGGACGGCAGGUCAAGGNNNNNNNNNNNNNNNNNNNNNNNNNNNNNNNNNNNNNNNNNNNNNNNNNNNNNNNNNNNNNNNNNNNNNNNNNNNNNNNNNNNNNNNNNNNNNNNNNNNNNNNNNNNNNNNNNNNNNNNNNNNNNNNNNNNNNNNNNNNNNNNNNNNNNNNNNNNNNNNNNNNNNNNNNNNNNNNNNNNNNNNNNNNNNNNNNNNNNNNNNNNNNNNNNNNNNNNNNNNNNNNNNNNNNNNNNNNNNNNNNNNNNNNNNNNNNNNNNNNNNNNNNNNNNNNNNNNNNNNNNNNNNNNNNNNNNNNNNNNNNNNNNNNNNNNNNNNNNNNNNNNNNNNNNNNNNNNNNNNNNNNNNNNNNNNNNNNNNNNNNNNNNNNNNNNNNNNNNNNNNNNNNNNNNNNNNNNNNNNNNNNNNNNNNNNNNNNNNNNNNNNNNNNNNNNNNNNNNNNNNNNNNNNNNNNNNNNNNNNNNNNNNNNNNNNNNNNNNNNNNNNNNNNNNNNNNNNNNNNNNNNNNNNNNNNNNNNNNNNNNNNNNNNNNNNNNNNNNNNNNNNNNNNNNNNNNNNNNNNNNNNNNNNNNNNNNNNNNNNNNNNNNNNNNNNNNNNNNNNNNNNNNNNNNNNNNNNNNNNNNNNNNNNNNNNNNNNNNNNNNNNNNNNNNNNNNNNNNNNNNNNNNNNNNCCACCUCCGCAACCCACCCUUCCCUUCCCGGCCUCCUUCUACCUCCGCCGUGGCGCCGGCCCGCCUAGACCCGCCGCCAUCCUCGAGCAGUGCGCCACGAGCCCUGGAGCAGUGCACCGCGAGCCCUCUAGCAGCUCAUCCAUGGGCGCCGGCAAUUUUUUUUGGCUUCUGCAGUUCGAUACCCCCUGCGUGCAGCUCGGGCGCGAGCAUGAUGUGGUUCGGUGCAGUCCAUUUGGUCCGGCGCCACCAGCCGCGGCCAUCAGCCUCCCCAUCUUGCAACUCUCUUUCUCUGCUCUGUGGCAGUCCCCUGUCGAGCAGCAGCUAGAAAACAGUGUCGCCAUGCUGUUCGAUACCAAACGCCACGCAGUUGGUUCCUGCAUCAGCUUGUAGUGAUUUGUGAAGAUUGCACCGCCCGUGAUGGUUCCUGCAUCAGCUUGCAGUGCACAUUGCGUAGGUGUGUUCUGCAUCGUGUGUUCUGAUCCGGUUCUCUAGUGAAGCACUUCAGCUCGGAUGGCUGUGUGAUGCCGUCAAUUUCUUUUGUACUAGCUGAUUUUGUGUAGGUUAUUUUGUGUUGCUGCAUGGUUGUGUUGAAAGAGUUCACUCUCCGUGCAGCUUAUUCGGCGGGGCGUGUGGUUCGUCUGAGCUCGGCGUGCAGUGCGUAACACAAGUCGUCAUUCAGUGCUGGAUCCGCCUCCCCCUGUUUGCAGCUCCUUUCAAUAUUUUUUGCAGCUCACUGAGUAUUCUUUUGCAGUUUGUUAUGAAAAUCCAAUGGCACUGGCCGCGCCACGCCUUCUCCUGUUGCUUCAUCUGAGGAGAGGACGGCCUCCUCUCCCUGCCAUGUCAAGAUCCGACCUCCACUACCUGCGCCCGGAGUGCAAACUCCCUUCGGCGAGGAGCGAGGUCCACAACAAGUCCAUCCCGGCGGGUUGACGGGGUCGGUCAGUACCGGAUUCCUGGCAACCGUGCAGUUUGGUGUACUUUUAUGCCUCAACCGUGCAGCUGACUGGGUGCUCCCAGCGAGGUUUUGUGGUUUGGGGUGUUCAGUGUGCUCCUAAUCACCCAUGUAGUUCAUUUUUACUGUACAUUUUGCAUUGUUUUGCUUGUGUGGUGCAAUUGUCUUCUGGGUCUGGUACAGUGCGAUGCUAGGAAGAUAUGGGCGACGAGGCAUGCAGUUCCCUAGCGUGAACAUGUUUGAGGAUGUGGAUUUUGUUUUUGCAGUUUGUUGUUCCUAUUUGAGUAGUCCAAAAAGCGUGUUUUAUGUGAUGUGGGAUGUAUGAACUCCGCUCCACCUCGUCUCAUGUGGUUAACUUUAGUUUGUGGCGUGGUUCACUUCCCCUCAAUUGUGAAUUACACUCGCCUCAUGCAGUUCUCGGAUGUGGUUCACUUUUGAGAGUAAUGAGGUUCACUUGCACACAGCAUGAAAGUGCGAUUUUUUUUAGCAAAACAACAAAAAAGUAAUGCGGUUAGCUUUGAUAUAUGUCGCGGUUCACUUCCCUCGUCCCUGCGGUCCAUUCUUGGUCAUAAAAAAUGUUGAAAAAAAGAUGUCAAAAACUCGGCCGAGAAAAAUUUACAUCCGACAAAAGAAAUAAUGAAGUUCACUUGACUGUCUGAUGCAGUGCGGUGUCUGUCUGAAGAAGUGCCCUCAUCUGUCUGAUGCAGUUUUUUCGUCGAUUUUGGUGUCGCGAAAAAACAGAGUGUCCGCAUUUCGUUUAAAUCAAAAUUGCUCUUAAACCCUAACACAUUAGCGGAAGUGUUCUACAUGAAAAAGUUGCGCCUCGACGAUAUCUUUCCAAGGGCGUAUCGUUUGAAUCAUUCCGAUCAGCGAUUUAUAAAAAAUUCACAAAAAAAACCGCCGCUGCCUAUCGUCGUCAGCUGUACGAUUUUUAAAAUUGACUAAAAACCGUAAGGAAUCUCAAAAACAUUUUAACAUAUGAAAGUUGCGCCUCGUCCGUAGCUUUCCAUAACGAAUCUCAAAAUCAUAUGCUUCGUUUUGACAAAUGGUUAGGAAACUGGAGUGAAAACAGUACAAAAAAUUCAAAAAAAAUUGAAAAACAGAAUUCCGCGAUUUAGUAAAUUUGAAACUGCUCUUAAACCGUAACGAAUUAGAGAAAGAUUUAUAUAUGGAAAAGAUGCGCCUCAACAAUAUCUAUCCAAUGGUGUAUCAUUUGCUUCAUUUCGACAAGCGGUUUAGAAAAAAAGGCGAAAAAACGCUCGCUGCCACUCGUCAUCCGGCGCACUAUUUUCAAAACUGCUCUUAAACCGUGUGGAAUCUCGAAAAGUGUUUAACAUAUCGAAGUUGCGCCUAAUCCAUAGCUUUUCAAUAGUAUAUUACACGCCUCAUUCUGGUAAACGGUUAAAAAAUUAGAGCAAAAACAGUACCGAAAAAAUAACGCGUGCAGUUUUUUUCGACGAGAAGUUCACUAGUCUCUAUUGCUGUGCUCGUCGUCAAAAUGAUGUAGUGCGCUUCUGUUGAGCAUGCAGUGCCGAAGUGGUGUGCAGAAUAGUUAUUCUGCUAAUAUUAGCAGAAUAGACCGUCUCUGUGUGUGUAUAUACUAUGGUGUAUCAUUUGCUUCAUUCCGACAAGCGGUUUAGAAAAAAACGCGAAAAAAGGCUCGCUGCCACUCGUCAUCCGGCGCACUAUUUUCAAAACUGCUCUUAAACCGUGUGGAAUCUCGAAAAGUGUUUAACAUAUCGAAGUUGCGCCUAAUCCAUAGCUUUUCAAUAGUAUAUUACACGCCUCAUUCUGGUAAACGGUUAAAAAAUUAGAGCGAAAACAGUACCGAAAAAAUAACGCGUGCAAUUUUUUCCGACGAGAAGUUCACUAGUCUCUAUUGCAGUGCUCGUCGUCAAAAUGAUGUAGUGCACUUCUGUUGAGCAUGCAGUGCCGAAGUGGUGUGCAGAAUAGUUAUUCUGCUAAUAUUAGCAGAAUAGAGAGAGAGAGAGAGAGAGAGAGAGAGAGAGAGAGAGAGAGAGAACGAAGGCUCGCGAUGAGCCCGACUUUGAAUUAACAAAGCCAUCAACCGACCAGGAAUUACAACACCACAUCAAGCACAUCGGCCGAACGAUACAAUGGAGCACCCUAGGAAGCUUACAACUCAACGCAGUAUACAAGCUCACAACAUAAAGAAGAGAACGCCUAAGCUAGUACACGCCGCAGACCGCAGCACCCAAGAACCAAGGAUUGCGACCAACAUGAACACGAUGAGGACCUGCCAAAACAGAGUGGAGUUGUGGACAUGACUGAGUCCAAGGUUGGAGGAAACAAAUCAUCUUCCUUUGCUCUCGCCGUAGAGGGACCCUACCCUCUCGCCUUGGAUCGAAAGGCGCUGCCGACGGACAUGAGAGACGCUCUCCCUAGAGCAAGAGAGAUGUCGACCUCGAGUCCUGGAACAGGCACAGAGCACACCUCCUAGGACAUAAGCACACCUCGUCUGACACACCGGCGCAACCAAGGACCCCUGAAAGACAGCGGGAAAGCCAUCGGGAGCAGCCACUGAAGAACGAGCAGCAAGGACAUCAGGAGAGGCCGCAGAGCGACGAGGGCGAACCAGACCUCCCCACAGCCACCUGAGAACCAUAGCCGCCCAAAACUCCACCUUUGUCGCCCCUCACCCGAACGCACGCUCCCCAGGCGCCACCUCCAAGGAGGACACGACGCGCAGCGCGCCGUCACCGCCCAAUCCAAGAAGGAUUUUGGGCUUUCACCCGGGAGGGGAACGGGGGUGGAUUAGGAUGGGACCUCGGCUGCACCUCCAACGAGGAAGGGGAGCCGGACCAGCCGACCGAUGGUUUCCCACCAGGCACCCAUCCACACCUAUCCGGCGACCGAAGCUGCUGAAACCGGCGAGGGUGAGGAGCCAAAGGGAAGGGGAGCCGAACCUCAGAUCUGGCGAGGAGGGGGGUCUCCACGCCACAGCCACCACCCGCCGCCGUCCCACCACCCGCGUAGUCGGGAACACCGGCCAGGAUCCCCCACGGACGCCGCCAGCCGGGGGGCGCCGCCGCCACGCCAUGAAGGGCCGCCGCCCCAGAUCCUCGUCCUCUGCCAGGAACGGAGCGAGCAGGGCCUCACCGACACCUUCACCGGCGACCGCGCAGGCUUGCCGGCGGCCUCCUCGGGUGGCGACGAGGGGGGGGAGGCGGGGCGGGGGUGGCGGCGCUAGGUGGGGACCCUAGUCGCCUCCUGAGUCGCCCGAACGGACGACGCGGGGGCUGGGGGGGGGGGGCGAAAGCAGUUAUAUUCUGUCAGUAUAGAUCAAAGAACAUCAUUGAUUGAUCUCGACUGAUUAGUAAAUCUUAUUAAUACCUGCAGUGUAUGUAUAUAUAAGCAUACAUUUCUCCAUAUGUCGUCUAGUUAAUACUUGUAGCAUUGCACUGCACUUGUAGUCUGAUAUGGAUCAUAUCAUUAGUAGACCAAAAAAAAAGUUCAGGGCUCUCUCCUUGUCCUUCUUUCGGGUCUUUGCACUUGCACUGCACUGCUUAAUGAUUGAAAUGAUGAAAAACACAUCCACAUGGAAACCCAAGGAAGGAAGAAAGGAAGGAAACUAGCCUGAAGAGGAACAUCCAUAUAUAGGUUCAGAUGGUUGCAUGUACAUUAUCCCUGGAAACUAGCUGAUUAAUACUUGUAGCAUGCGUAGACAAACAAUGUUUCAUAUUUCAUCAAGAUGAUACUUCCUCCGCCCCACAAUAUAAGAUCGUUUUUCAAGCUAACAUAGCUAGAAAAACAAUCUUAUAUUGUGGGACAGAGGGAGUAGUAGCCUAUCUUUCUAGCCUCAUGUGAAUCAUAUCACUAAUACACCAAAAAGGCUAAAAUUGCAAUUUAGGGCUUGCUAGAAUCAUUUCUAUGUGGCACAUUUUCUAGCUAGAAUCUAAUUAUUUAUUUAUUGCGGGGGCUAGCUAUAAUCUAAUUGUUCCGCGCACAUAGAAAGACAAAGAUACAUGUAUUGUUUCUAAUGGUGCUUCAUUGUACCCAUCAUAUAUUCUUUUUGAUAAGCAACCAAUGGAUCUUGUUGCAGCCCCCAAGUGACACGCAACAGCUAAAGGGUGGAUCAUUUUGUAAUGGCUACAAGGGCCCAAACAGAGACGUCUGACGGUAGAUGCAAAUGGAUUAUCCGUUGAUGAUUUUGAAGAAAUAGCAGGAGCUCCGUCUUCUGUACACACAUCUAUUUAUAUGCAGCAGCUACGAAUGGUAUGUAGUACUGGUACAGGGCAUGAACUGUAAUGUAGAAAACAAACUGUAAUACAGAUAAACUUAUGUCUUAUGGACAAUGUCUACAUAAUCGAACUGAAAACAAACAACAGUUUGCUAACUGCACUGACGUUCAUGGGUCAAGACCAGCAUGCCGGGAUGAAAAUGGCAGUGUGGAGAUAAUCAAGAUUAUUAACAGGUGACCGUUCAGCUCUUGUGAACACCGUGAUCACUUCCUGCAUCGUUGGACGGUGCGAUGGAUCAGGCUCUAUGCACCGAACAGCGAUGGCAACCAUAUGAAAUAUCUCACGUGCGAUCUCAGCUUCAGGGAGUGGGAGACGGGUGUCCAGCAAGUUGUCAAGUGAUGUAUUUCUGUUGCUGUUGUCCAUGGAUGAAAAGAGAUCCCCUGGAUGUUGUCCCAUGAACAGCUCUAGAACAAGCACUCCGAAGCUAUAAACAUCGCACUUCUCUGUCACCCUUGUUGUGUAUGCAAGCUCUGAAACAUUAACAUUUCAGAGUUAAUUUUGAUAGCUAUCUGUCUUGCAGUAAUGCAAAAUACAUAGUUUAGCUUCCAACUAUUGAAACUAUGCUGAUGUUGCAUCAAUAUUCUAUGAGACAUAUACAAUAAGAUAAGCAAUAAGCUAAUGUAGCUCCUGCAGAUUUAAGCAUAUAGUCCGUGCAGAGAGGGAGGAAAAAUAAAUACGUAGUAGUGUGGGUGCAUGGGGUUGAUAAUUAAUUGGUGCAUGCCAUUGUACAUUUUAUAAAUUAGAGACAAAAAUAUCAAGUUUUAUUAAAGUAUGUAUGAUUAUUGAUUUAACCAACAUAUAGAGAUAUAAUUUUACCUGGGGCAAUAUAUCCUUUUGUCCCAGCAAGAUUUGUGCAGUUCGAUGCAUCCACAUCUAGUAUUUUAGCUAGACCAAAAUCCGAUAACAUUGCUGCUUGUUAUAUCUCUGUGGACUAUUGGCGCGAAGCAAUCAUGAUGCAUGUAACACAAAGCAUGAGCAACAUCCCGAACAAUAUUUAACCUACUGAUCCAAUCCAAUUCAAUUGCAGUUUCAUUGCCUUUCAAGGAUGCUGCUAAGCUUCCUCUAUCCAUGUACUCAUACACAAGGAAUCUUCCCUGAGUUCCAGAACAGUAACCAAAUAACUUCACGAUGUUGCGAUGUCGAAUAUGCAUUAACGCAUGUAUUUCACGGUUAAAUUGCUCACCAUCUUCUCCCAUGUGGAUCUUCUUCACUGCAAAUAUUUCACCUGUUGGUAACUGAGCUUUAUAGACAGAUCCAUUUCCUCCAGUCCCAAUGCAAUGAACAUUGCUGAAAUUAUUUGUGGCAUCCACAAUUUUCUUGUACACAUCCUCCCCAUCAAAGCUCCAGAUGGCAAACAUCUUCGUUUGUUGCACUUGAUUUGCUAUUUCUGCCUUUGGUUUCUUCUUUUUGCAUUGCCAUAUUACUAGUGUAGUGAUAAAUACAAAAGAUACAAGAGCAGGUAUAAUAGCUAGCUAGUAAAAUAGCUCUGUAGUUUUUUCCUUGCUUACUACUUCGUGAUAGUUCACAAGGGGGCAAACCUUUUACACUACCACACCAUUUCUUAUUAUGCAUCUUCAUAGAACCUAGUAUCUGGCACUGGCCCUUCUAAUCUGUUGUAUGACACAUCCACAGAUAGAAGACUGAUUGGAGCUUCUUCAUAGAACCUAGUAUCUGGCACUGGCCCUUCUAAUCUGUUGUAUGACACAUCCACAGAUAGAAGACUGAUCAUGUUCUGAAAUGAUGGUGGAAUGUUGUCACCCAGUGCAUUGUGAGAAAGAUUCAAGGCUUCAAGCAUACUAAGACCACCUAACAGACUUGGAAUAGCUCCAUCAAUUAAAUUGUCACUUAGAUCCAAAAGAUCCUGUAGGUGUACCAACAUCCCUAGUUCGAUAGGAUUAUGGGCCAUGGCGCACAAUACACGCUAUAAUUUUGGGUAAAUGGACUGCUGGUUUAUGCCUUCUAUUUUGGACAGAACACAUAUCAAACUCAAUUACAAACUAAAAUAAUCUUGCUAUACAAAUCAAUAAAAUAAAUGGAGAAUCUACCAUGCAGCCCCUCGACAUCAUUAAUUCUCUUGUCGAAGCAAUAAUGGUUUCUUAUUUACAUGCACACACAACAUAUAGUACAUGAAUUAUCCGUCAAAUGGUAUAUGGACAAUACCAACCGAAGUGGAGACUUUAGGUGUACCUAGAAGAGUAGAUGCAAUUUUAGUGUGAUUUAUAGGUAUGACAUAUUGCAAAUUUGCGGUAGCUAAAAUCACUUAAGUAAUCAAAAUAAAGAUCCUAAUCCUAUUUGAGAGAUCGGUAUAAUUUAUUAGAUUAGUGCCUACAUCUUUAAAUAUUGCAUGUGCACGAUUGAAGGUAUAAAAUGAUUUGGUCAAAACAGAUUUAACUUGGGGCGUCUACAAAGCGGACCCUCAAACCUCCCGCAAGCAUAUGGACUGCGUUGUCCGGACACAAUUUGCCAUCCAACGCGGUCCUGUAUCGGUCCGCAGAUGCGUCCGGAUAUCCAUUUUCCUGCAAACCCAAGACAAACAAAGGACAACUUUGCGGGAGUCUGGACAUCUGCCUGACGAAUCAAAAACCACGACUUACCCUAUCCUCCUUGUCUAGAUGGCGGAAGACCGUGCUGCUAUUUGGCUGAUGCAUGUUGCUUUGGCCGGAAGUGAUAGGAUAGCCUGUUGUUUGGCGGAAGAUUUAGCAUGUAGUUGGCGGAAGGUUUAAACAUGCAGCAUGUUGUUGGCGGAAGGUUAGCUUGCAUGCAUGUGUUUACACUCUUUUUUCACUUUUUCAAGUGCUUUCAUUCAUUUAAAAUGUGAUUGUUGUUAAUAUUUUUGGUGGAAGAUUGUUGUUGUUUGGCGGAAGGGAAGGCAGACGGAUAUUUGAGGUAUAUGGUUGGAUGGAUGACUCCCGUAUCCAUGUCCGGACACUAGUCCGGACCGGUUUUCAGACAAAUACUGUGUCUGUUUUGCGUGUUGGCGUUGGAGAUGCCCUUACAUUGUUUCACCAUUAGCAAUCUAGACAACUCACUGUUGCAGCUUUAUGAAAACAUCACUAAGUCUUCAAUUGUGCAUGACAUAAAUUUAAUAAUUUUGUGAAAAUUGCGUUAACUAACACUAGUAAGCGUGCACGUGCAAUGCACGUCUUAAACAUUGACCAAGUGAGAUCCGUGUUGUAAUUUUUUUAAGAAAAUAUAAAUCAAAUGGGUGCUCAAUAUUUGUGAUGCCACUCAACAUUGACCAAGUGAGAUCCGUGUUGUAAAUUUUCUUUUUAAGAAAAUAUAAAUCAAAUGGGUCCUCAAUAUUUGUGAUGCCACUCAAAUUGUAUCUUUCGAGCGACAAAGGUAUAAGUUGUUUCAUCCAUUAUGUGUUCGGAUAGUGCAAAAGAAAAUAAAUCUACCAAUAUUUUUAAAAACAAAUUUGGCUAUGUGUACAUCCAAAAUGUAAGGUUUCACAGAGCUCAGGAGAGUUUAGAUGCUACGGACAGCUUCUCACUUAUCAAAUAAAUGAAUGUUACAGUUAAAAUCUAACGAGCUGGGGCAAACAAUAAAAGAACUCAUAUCAAGAGCUUUCAUGUAACUAAUGCAUCUUCCUAAUAUCUCAUUCAUCUCUAGGGGAUGAGGGCAUCGCGCAUCAGGUGGCUGACAGUAUGACCGAUUGCGCAGGUAAGAAAAACUUUUAUUUAGAAUACUCAAGAUUUAUCAGCUUUUUUUAGAACAUCUGAAGUUUUAUCAACUGCUCGCUCGCAGUCAUUGCUAUGUGCCACUUACUACGAGGCACAUCGCUGCCUCACCUGUAGGGAGCGGUGGUGGACCGGCCCAGUACAUGCUGAGAUCAUGCUGAUGUGACUAGAAUUUCUUUUGUUUCAAUUUUCUCUUUUAUUAAUAUUUUAAAUUCAUAUAUUUCAAAAACUUAAAUUUACUUCAGAAAAUUUUAAAACAGGAAUUUGAAAAAAAUGUUAACCUAGUACUAAAAAAGUUGUUAGCACGGUUUUAAUUAAACGUUGAUAACUUUAAGAAAACAUUCGUGCCAAUAAAAAAAUGUUCCCGUGUUUAAAAAAAUGUGUAUAUAAUGCAACAAAAAUGUUUGCGUAAUGUAAAACAAAUGUUUCGCACCAUUAAAACAAUAUACAUGUCAUGACAUUUUUACAAAAUGUUAUACAUAAUGUAAAACAAAUGUUUAUGCUGGUUAAAAAUGUUUGUUUCCAUUAAAACCGUACCUGAUAUUUUAAAGAAAUAAGCACCUGUUCCCCAAAAAUGGCCGUCAUUUUUUUCUAAAAUGCUUAUACAAUACAAAAGAAAAUGUUUGUGUAAUUUAGAAUGAUGUUUAUUGCCAUUAAAAUAUACAAUGUCUAUUUGGAAACAAAUGUUACGGUGUAGUGAAAAAAAUGUUCAAAACAUGUAUUUAGUAAAAAUGUACAUCUUGUAUUCGAAAUUGUCCAACGGAUAUCACAAAAGAAAUCCACCUAUGCUUUUAAGAUGUACAUUGUGUACGGAGAAAAAAGUAGACAUGUGUUGAAAAAAAAAGUAAAUGGAUAAAAACUGACAAAAAACAAAAGAAAAGCAAAAAAAAAAGCAAAGAAACAAAAGAAAACCAAAGUAUAACAAAGAAAGAAAAACCAAAAAACCNNNNNNNNNNNNNNNNNNNNNNNNNNNNNNNNNNNNNNNNNNNNNNNNNNNNNNNNNNNNNNNNNNNNNNNNNNNNNNNNNNNNNNNNNNNNNNNNNNNNNNNNNNNNNNNNNNNNNNNNNNNNNNNNNNNNNNNNNNNNNNNNNNNNNNNNNNNNNNNNNNNNNNNNNNNNNNNNNNNNNNNNNNNNNNNNNNNNNNNNNNNNNNNNNNNNNNNNNNNNNNNNNNNNNNNNNNNNNNNNNNNNNNNNNNNNNNNNNNNNNNNNNNNNNNNNNNNNNNNNNNNNNNNNNNNNNNNNNNNNNNNNNNNNNNNNNNNNNNNNNNNGUUAAAAAGAAAUGAAACCAAAGGAAAAAAGCAAAAGAAAUGAAAAACCAUAGAAAACCCAGUUUGGGAGUGUUGGUUGUAUGCAAUGGAGGUGAAAGAAUUGCCCUGUAUCUUGGCACGACCGAGUCACUAUGCAUUGCCAUGACCCAAUAAUUUUUUCGGGUGGUUUGCCUUAGUAUAUCCCCUUCCAAAAAUUAAAACGGGUAGUUUGGACAAAUGUUGGGCCAGUAGUUGGUCUCUCUAUGGUGCUGGGCGGGCAACUACUGGCCCAACUGCUUAUUCUUUUUUUUUUACCUUCAAAAAAAUAAACUGCUUAUUCUUUUUUUAUUUGAGACGCUGGGCGGUCCACCAUGAUCCAUCGAAGAAAGCUUCAUUCAGCCCGUCCUCUUCCGAAUUCUCAAAAAAAAAAGUUUAAAAAAAAGAAAGAGGGCCCGUCCUCGCUUCCGGUCAUCCCAUCCCUCGCCAAGCUAAGAUCCCCGGCUUCUCUCUCUCUCAAAAAAAAGCUAAGAUCCCCGGCGGGCGCGAACGACGACUACGUGACCCUCGACGCCGGGAACAUGCAGCAGCCACGCCGGGAACAUGCAGCAGCCAAGCUAAGAUCCCCGGCUUCUCUCUCUCUCAAAAAAGUUGCCUGUAGCUUGAGGUUUCAGGCGUCAGGCCUACUCUUGUUGGAGUCGGACAAUCUUCCUCCUUCCGACCACAGGACAGACGGAGAUGUCGCCUGCCUCCUCACGCUAAUGGGGGCUGCUACCUAUCCUCUUCUACACGCAUACCUUAGCUAGCCACAUACCCAACACUUGCAACCUUCAAGUCCAGGGCCUUUACCUGAACUUCCUCUGCUUUGCUCUAUUUUCUGAAGUCUGCUUUGCCCGCCUCUGCUUUUGCUCUAUUUUCUGAACUCUAUAUAUUUGGCUGCAGCCCUCCUCACGCUAAUGGAGGCUGCUAUCUAUGCUCUCUUUCUUUUUGUUAGCAACGAGAAUACACACUAGACGCCUAUAUCGAUCGAAAUGGCGGCAGCUAGAUGUCUCAAACUCUUUGGUGCACUACUUGAUGGUGGCAACACCACAAAAUUAUAUUUGUGCACUAAGACAAAAUAUAGCAUUUCUAGUUCAGAUCGAGCUCAUUUAUAUAUGGUUCAUCGAUCAAUCCCACACAUAAUCUUUUUAUUACAAACCAACACGAUUAAGACAGCCAGCCAGCUUGAUCGAUCGUGAACACCACGUACACCAAGCUGGAGCUGGACAAACCAACCAAGGAAGCAAACCAACCAAGCUCACACACCAAUCCAAUCCAAUCCAAUCCAAUCCAAUCAUCGAGUAUAUGUAGCUUGGUGAAGAAAGCACACCACUGCUUUAUUCCUCCAUGCGCAGAUGGAGCUUGUAACAGACACACGACAGGCAAUGGGAAACACACUUCGGAGAUUGAGUUCUCAUGGCUUGACUGUAACACUAAUAAUGGACUAAUGCAUGGUCCAUGUAAGCCGGUCCACCUCCCUUUGCAUCAUCCAGAUUACCUAGGAAAUGAAAUAUGAAAUAAAAAAAAUAGACAUUAGUCACGUUGUGCAUCAAUGACACUUGAUCAAUGUACCCAUGCAUAGAACAAACUUAUAAAAGAAAAAAUUAAAACCAUUUUGAACCAACUGUACCUAAAAACAGAGACCCUCGGGAGGAUCUUCUUGUAGUGAGCCGAGUGGCGUGUUUCGAAGAGUGACGACUCAUGGUUGGCCUUGGAGCCGUCCCACUCGAGCCUAUCCCACCGGUCCUUCUCGCAGUCCGGUACCGGCUUGAGACCUUCACGCGACACGACUGGUAGCCGUCUCAGGCCCCAGCAGCCCCUGAGGCUGACCGUCUCCAACGCUGGCGCAUACAGUCUAACCUCGCAUAUUUGCUCUAGCUUGUGGAGAUGAUAUAGCUUGAUGUGCCUCAGCUUCUUGAAUGUGACACCACAUGCUAUACGGCGAUGGUUUUGAUAUAGUCGGAAAAUAUGUUGGAUGUUACGACAGUAUGCAAUCUGAAUUGUCUCCAAGUUUGGCAAGAUGGAGGAAAUGGGGAGCACGAACACCAGCCUAGGACAGUUGUGCAAGUAUAUGUGUUGUAGCCCACAGUGAUGCCCAAUGUGUCUACUCCAGAUGCAAUGGGCCAUAAGGAUAUCAGAUGCAGAAAAUAUCCUUAUUGAGUUAAAGGUAUUAAAUCCAACCGAACGAGAGAAGACAUUGUGCAUCUUAGGGCAUCUCUCAACAUGACACCAUUCUAGACUGUUCCAAUGUAGUGAUAACUCUGGAAUGAUAGUUGUGACCGAGACAUUGUCAUGCACAUACAACGAUUGCACUUUAUCCCCUAUGGCGGAACCAUGCAAGAACAUUACAGGGUCAUUCAUACUCUCUAAAUGGUGGCUUCCUUCACCAAUCUCAAUGUGCACACCCAAAGGAUAAAGUUGACAGUGAUCCCACACCAAGGUCGAGCACAUGCCAAUAUCUUUGUUAACGACAAUAUCAUUGUAAGGCAAGAAGGGUCAUGUUGGAACCGGACCUUCUUGACUACGCCCAACGUGAUCAAUACUUUUGGUGAUGUUGACUUGGUUGUCGAUUUUAGAAGCGAUAUGGAGAUGCACCUUGGAGCCAUGCAUAGCACAAAGACACUUUAUUAUGGACCAAACAAACCUUCCAUCUGUAAAAACCAUAAUUGCCUGAAUGCCAGAGGAAUUUUGUUCUCUGCAGUAGGUCGCUGACCCAGUCUUCCCCCGAGUGUCUACAUGUAGAACUUCCAAUGGAGGGUUUUUUCCGUCCCAGAGUAAGCUACAGAGUUGUUCACAGCCUGGCAGGAAUAGCUUCUUGAGUUGCCCAACAUCCAUUGCAUUGAGGUCAACUGUUUUAAUAGAUGUGCCAGAGAGGUCCAACUCCUCAAGAUUGGGCAAUGCACACAAGAACAUGUGUUGCAAUUGAGCAAAACCCUUCAGAGAGAUCCUUCUCACCAUUGCUUCUUGAACUAAAGCAGUGCGAGACUUGGGACAUUGUUCCGCCUUUGGAAGUUGCAUGGGAUGUGUCCACUUCUUUGUUGGACCAUAACCAUCGAAGCUAAAACUCUCGAGCAGUGGAGGGGCUCCUUCGAGCUUAACAUGCCCCAAGCUGGAACACCCAUCAAGAACAAGCAUCUUCAAGCACCAUGUUGAUGACAUUGCCGGCAUUGAUUUCAUAUGAAUGUUACCUGACAAGUCAAGGAGCUCCAGAUUAAUCAUAUCAACAGAAAGGCAGGUGUCCACCGUGAUCACAUCUAAGGAUUCAGUUAAGCGAAGCUUCUGAAGGUUCUGUAGACUUCUCCAUGCAUGACUUACUAUCCUCCAUGAGACACCCUUGGUAUUUACCUCCCUGAGAUUGGUCAUCAGCUCUAUCAUCUCUUCCAACAAGAGAAAACAAGUGAAGCGUACAUCAAGCACCGAUAGAUUUGCGAAACAUGACCCUCCAACCUGCUUCCCUCUAGUGUUUGUGCAAUGGUCAAGCCAAAGGAAUCUCAGGUUGCGACAACAUUGAAAAGGAGGGGAUGCAAAAUUGAAGCUGCACUUGCAAAGUUUUAGCACACAGAGGUUGCUAGAAAGUUGAAAUAAAUCAUUUGGUAGUGUCAGCAGACCAUCUCCCCCAAAUGUUAGAAAAUAUGAUGAUGCAUUGACAGGAACAACUAAGAUAUCGUGCGCUAAUUGGUUGCAUGAGAUUGAAAUCCAACCUUCAUAUCGUUCUCUGUGUCCAUCCAGAUAGCGUACCAAUAUUUCUUCUCCAUAGGAACUAUAGCACAUCUGUAUCACUCCAUACAAUGCACUGCCAACAUCACAAGCUAUGUCCCCUUGAAGGAUGUCAUCACAUAUCUAGUAGUUGCAAGCAUGAAUAUCCCAACCAUAGUCAACACUGAUAGACUUUCCACGUACUUGCUCUGCCAAAAACAGUGAGUACAAGAUGCAAUCCAAAACUGUUGCUGGGUUGACAUCAUACAUUGGUUCUUCAUACAAUGAUCGGUGCAGAAGUUGACUCGAAAUUUCACUGUACAUGUGAUACAUGGGUUCCAAAUAAAUAGUUCUAAAGUAAGUAGAGCUGGUUUGUAACUUUCUUUUCCCUUUUUCAAAAAGGGGGUUUGCCUCGGCCUCUACAUCAGAACGAUGCAUACGGCCAUAUUAUUGAUAAUCAAAAGGUCCAACAUAAGUCUUCAGGUCUAAAAAAGGAAAAGAAGGCUCACAAAGAGCAAGAAUGCAAAAACAGGAUAGCCACAACCGGCAGGCAAAACAUAAGAUAAGAAACUAAUACAUAUCCUAUUACAUGACCGCCAUCCAAACCGGUUGAAGAUAGCCCGUGCUACCGUCUCUCAUGGGAUAGAUCCAGGAACCAAAUGCUCCCUGGCCUCCGUCGGAGUGAGUAGGACCACAUACGGAUCAAUGUAGUGGCCCGGAAAAUAACCUGCAAGAAAUGAAUAUUUGUUGUUCUGUUAAAAACCAAGUCAUUUCUGCAGUUCCAAACUGCCCAUAAUAAAGCACAUACUCCUACACGGAUAUGUCUCAUUGUUUCUGCAUCAAUCCCAUCUAGCCACGUCCCAAAUAACGUGUUGAUAGUAUUCGGAGGAUUAAUAUUAAAAGCUAUGUGGACCGACCUCCACAAAUUUUUUGCCAAAGGGAAGUCAAGAAAGAGGUGUUUGAUGGAUUCAUCAUUAUCACAAAAACUACAUCUUUUAGAUCCUGUCCAGUUGCGUUUUGCCAAAUUGCCCUUAGUUAGAAUGACUUGUUUGUGGGCAAACCACAUUACACAUUGAUUUUUAAAGGCACUUUGACUUUCCAAACAUGUUUCGAAUGAGGAAUAGUGCUAGCGUUGAUAAUAUCCAAAUACAUGGAUUUAACCGAAAACUCACCAUUCUUAGUUAGUUUCCAGCGCAACUGAUCGGGCUAUUGAGAGAGAUGGACAUCCAUCAAUCUUCUUACAAGAUGGAGCCAAGCUUCCCAAUGGUUUCCCGCUAACGUCCUCCUGAAUUGAAUACUAAGAGGAUUGGACUGUAAUACUGUUGCAACAUAAGCGUCUCUUCACUGAACAAUAUUAUAGAGAGAAGGAUAUUGGAGUGCAAGGGGCGUCUCCUCUAGCCAUGUAUCGUUCCAGAAUCUUGUGGAAGUACCAGUUCCAACUACAAAUUUUGUCCUGUUAAAAAAGACUGAUUUCACUCUCAUCAGUCCUUUCCAAAAAGGUGAAUCAGUCGGUCUUACCAUCACCUCGGACAAGGUUUUGAGUUGAAGGUACUUAUUACGCACAAUCUGGGCCCAUGUGGCAUCCGUCUCUACAGAUAACUUAUACAGCCACUUGCUGAGAAGACAUAUGUUCUUCACCUCUAAAUUUUCAAUGCCGAGACCCCCAUGAUCUUUCGGCCUACAAAUGAUAUCCCAUUUAGCGAGUCUGUAUUUUUGUUUUAAUUCAUCACUCUGUCAGAAGAAGCGCGACCAAUAGAAAUCUAGCCUUUUUCGUACUCCAGCUGGUACUUCAAAAAAGGACAAGAGAAACAUAGGCAUACUUGUGAGAACCGAAUUAAUCAGAAUUAGUCGGCCUCCGUAUGACAUAAGCUUACCCUUCCAGCAGCUUAGUUGUUUUUCAAAUCGAUCUUCAAUGCACUUCCACUCUUUGUUGGAAAGCUUGCGAUGGUGGAUUGAUAUACCCAAAUACGUGAAGGGUAAAGACCCCAAUUCACACCCGAACAAUUCCUUGUAAGCUUCUUGUUCUUUUCUAGCUCUUCCAAAGCAGAACAAUUCACUUUUAUGGAAGUUAAUCUUUAACCCCGACAAUUGUUCAAACAAGCACAUCACAAACUUCAUGUUUUUUGCUUUAGCCAAAUCAUGCUCCAUGAAGAUGAUAUAUCAUCAGGGUACUGUAGGAUAGGUACUCCUCGGUCAACUAAAUGCGGAACGAGGCCACCUAUUAGGAAUGUUAUUUAUAAGGUCAGACAAGUGAUGCCCCUAGUCUAAAAGUUAAAAUAUACUGUUGUACUUCCUCCAUUCCUAAAUAUUUGUCUUUCUAGAGAUUUCAACAAGUGUCUACAUACGGUGUAAAAUGAGUGAAUCUACACUCUCAAAUAUGUCUAUAUACAUCCGUAUGUGGUAGUCCAUUUGAAAUCUCUAAAAAGACAAAUAUUUAGGAACAGAGGGAGUAGAAUGGAAGUGAUCUGAAAGUGCACUAAGUAAACUUUUCUUCUAGAAAAUAUAUGCACUCGCUUGGUAUCUUGUGGGUUGCAAAAGAGUGGGUUGUACAUGUAUGUCUAGCUUAGAAAGAAAGAAAAUAGUAAGAAAUGAACAGAGCAGGUGCACUUAAUUUGUAAUGCUGGAUGUUGCCUUGUGGUUGAUUACCACUGUGCUAACAAGAUCAUGUUUUGAAGAAACAACUAUAAAAAUAACAGAUCCCAUGUCACAGAUAGGUUAGCAAGGAGAGGAGAUCGAGGUGCUAACCAGGUGUUCUAUUUCAUGAGCCAUAUUGAUUGACCUCCACAAGAAAGUUGUAACUAGCACAACUAGGGCAGAGGCCGAGAACUGAAAAUCUCUCCCAUUUUAAGAUCCCCUCAUGUCGCCCCCGCCCUUGGCGACUCGGGGGCUCUCCAACCCUAGGUGCCGCUGCCGCCCUCUCCUCCUCCCCUCCUCGCGCCGCCGCCGGGUGAAACACGCGUGGCAGCCAACGGCGGCGGGGGACUCCCUCUCCCGGAUCCCCUUCCUCUGCGGGCCGCGGAUCUAGGCGGCAGGUGGCAGUGUCCUGCGGCGCUCGCGGUCGGGCGCGAGGUGGCAGGCCUCGGCGAACGGUGGCGGGGCACGGGGCGCGCGGCGGCGGGCCUUGGUAGGCGGUGGCGGCUACGCGCGGGGUUGGCUCCGGGGCGGCCGCGUGGGCACAAAUCCAUCACGGAUCUGGUCCUGCGGGCACAUUCUCGGCCUCCUCUGCUGGGCCGGCGGGUCUAGGUGGGGGGACUUCUCCUUGCUGAGAUCUGGCAGCGGGGUCAUCCAGAUCCCGGCAAGGAUGGCGACAACCCGUGCACUAGAGAUGGAGAUCUUCGAUCAGAUCUGGGUGAAAAUCUGCUAUUGGCUAUCCAAGGCCGAUGGCGACAAUGUCUGCGUCAUUACCUUCCUGAAGGCAUCGCCAUGGAGAAGUUCAAGGACACUCUCUGCUACCUCCGGGGGAAACCCUAGAUCGGUAGAUCGGAUGACGACGGCUCUCUGGUGUCGUUUCCCCCUUGGGGGCGUCAGUCUUAGAGGUGCACACGGGCUCAAGGGACCGGAGGACGGUGACUUUGGUGGAGCGGUGCUUCAUCUUACACAUUGAUGGUGGCGGAUCUCGGCGGCGUGGCGCUGUGGAGACUCGGCAUCUGAUGCGCGGAGAUGGACUCGCUCAGUAGGAGGAAGCUGUCUGGCGUCAUGAUGGCGUUGAUGGUAGAGAGGCCUGGCAAGGUCGGUGCUUCAGUUCUGCUCUGAGGAUGGACCGAGGGAUGAUGGAGGUGACGGCCCUUGCAGCGUGUGGUGCUCACUGGGAGUGUGCCAGACCGGUGUGGGACCUAAUCCAGGUAGUGGCUUGGAUGGGAUACCGGGCUUUAGAUGUUAGACUUUGGUUCCAUGUCUGUUUGGAUGUUAGAUGUUAGCCCAUUAGUCCCAGUUCAGUCUAGAACCGAGACUAAUGGGGCCAUUUGUCCCGGUUUGUGCGCCCAGGGGCCACGUGGGCCAUUUGUCCCGGUUCGUCUGGACCUUUUAGUCCCGGUUGGUGCCACGAACCGGGACUAAAGGGUGCGAUGCCCAUUAGUACCGGUUCGUGGCACCAAACGGUACUAAAGGUUAGACCUUUAGUCCCGGUUCGAGCCACCAACCGGUGCUAAUGGGGUUUGAGGCAUUAGUAUCGGUUCAUGGCACGAACCGAUACUAAAGGUCCCAUUUUCAAACUCCACCCCCCUGAUCGCCUUUUCAGUUUAAAAAUAAAUAAAAGAAAAUGAUGAAAAUGUCAAAAAAAUAAAAAUAAUAAGUUUCCCAUGUGAUAUGUGGUCUAGUUGUUGGGAAAAUUUGCAAAUGUGAAUUUCGACUUUAUUUGCAAAAUCUCUCUAGAAUUUAGUAAAAUGGGCAUAACUUUUGCAUACUAACUCGGAUGAAAAAGUUUUUUAUAUGAAAAAUCAUCUACUCGAAAAGAUACAUCCAAAUUUUCAAAAUCCUCAAAAACCUAACAGAAAAAAGUUACGGGGCUUUUAAGAUCUAGAGUGGAAAAAAUCGAAUUUUUUUCAUACUGUGGUCAAACUUUGGUCAAACUAAUUAUUCUAGAAUAUUAGUGUUACUAAAUAAGUAUUUCAGUUAUUUUGAAUUUUGGUCAAAUCUGGUCAAACUGUGGUCAAACAAUGGUCAAACUAAUUAUUCAAGAAAUAUUAGUGUUACUAAAUAAUUAUUGUUUUUUAAAACAAAAGUUUCAAACUCAAACAGUGAAAUGUAUCACUUCAUGCUCAAGCAAAAUUCCCGAGGGUUAAUAGGAUUGACAUCUUACUAUUGUCAGGAAAACAACAAGUGCAGACUUGGAAACGAGGGAGAAUAGAACCUGGAAGUUAAGCGUGCUCAGGCUGGGGGAGUGGGAGGAUGGGUGACCGUUUGAGAAGUUAGAUGAUUGAGAAUGAUGAGGGGUGAUUAGAGAUUAGAGGAUAAAUUGAGCAGUGAUGAGGGGUGGUGAUUAGAUAUUAGAGGUUAAAAUAAUUCAAAAAUUUGAAAAGAAAAAUUCAAAAAAAAAAUCAUAAAAUUUCCUUUAGUCUCGGUUGGUGUUACCAACCGGGACUAAAGGGGGGAGACAUUAGUAACGACCCUUUAGUCCCGGUUCAUGAACCGGGACUAAAGGCCCUUACGAACCGGGACAAAUACCAUGUUUUCUACUAGUGCUCAGACCUACGGGUCCAUAGUUAUUAGCUAGAUGGCUUCUUCUCUCUUUUUGGAUCUCAUUACAAUGAUCUCCCCCUCUCUUGUGGAGAUCUAUUCGAUGUAAUCUCUUUUUGCGGUGUGUUUGUCAAGAUCCGAUGAAUUGUGAGUUUAUGAUCAGAUUUAUCUAUGGAUAUUAAUUGAAUCUUCUCUGAAUUCUUUUAUGUAUGAUUGAGUUAUCUUUGCAAGUCUCUUCGAAUUAUCGGUUUGGUUUGGCCUACUAGAUUGAUCUUUCUUGCAAUGGGAGAAGUGCUUAGCUUUGGGUUCAAUCUUGCGGUGUUCUUACCAAGUGACAGAAAGGGUUGCAAGACACGUAUUGUAUUGUUGCCAUCAAGGAUAACAAGAUGGGGUUUAUAUCAUAUUGCAUGAGUUUAUCCCUCUACAUCAUAUCAUCUUGCUUAAUGCGUUACUCCGUUCUUAUGAACUUAAUACUCUAGAUGCAUGCUGGACAGCGGUCGAUGUGUGGAGUAAUAGUAGUAGAUGUAGGCAGGAGUCGGUCUACUUGUUUUGGAUGUGAUGCCUAUAUACAUGAUCAUGCCUAGAUAACAUCAUAAUUAUUCGCUUUUCUAUCAAUUGCUUGACAGUAAUUUGUUCACCUACAGUAAUACCUAUGCUCUCGAGAGAAGCCUCUAGUGAAACCUAUGGUCCCCUGGUCUAUCUCUUAUCAUAUUUGCUUUCAAUCUACUUUUAUUUGCAUCUUUACUUUCUUGCAUCUAUAUCAUAAAAUACCAAAAAUAUAUUCAUCUUAUCAUACUAUCUCUAUCAGAUCUCACUUUCGCAAGUGGACGUGAAGGGAUUGAUAACCCAUUUAUUGCGUUGGUUGCGAGUUCUCAGUUUGUUUGUGUAGGUGCGUGGGACUUUUGAGGAGCCUCCUACUGGAUUGAUACCUUGGUUCUCAAAAACUGAGGGAAAUACUUACGCUACACUUUGCUGCAUCACCCUCUCCUCUUCGGGGAAAACCAAUGCUAGCUCAAGACGUAGCAAGUAUGAGCGCCGAAAUUCCUUCUUUCGUCAAAUUGGCAUCACACACCAUGUUUCUUUCCCUCACGCUCAUCAGCAAAACGGCUCUGCCAAGCGAAAACAUCGUCAUAUCGUCGAAGUUGGUCUCUCUCUCCUAGCACAUGCAUCCAUGCCCUUGAAGUUCUGGGAUGAAGCAUUCAUCGCUGCCACAUACUUGAUAAACCGUACCCCUAGCAAAGUAAUAAACCUUGAAACACCCUUGAAAAAACUCUUUCAUGAGAAACCAAACUACCAUGCUCUUCACACCUUUGGUUGUGCCUGUUGGCCUAAUCUCCGUCCCUUUAAUUCUCACAAGCUAGAAUUUCGAUCAAAGCAAUGUGUAUUUCUUGGCUAUAACAAUCUUCACAAGGGUUUUAAGUGCUUAGACAUCGCUGCUGGACGUGUCUACAUCUCACGAGACAUUGUGUUUGACGCGACAGUCUUUCCAUUUGCUGCCCUAAAUCCGAACGCCGGUGCUCUAAUUCGAUCUGAAGUUCUUCUUCUUUCCGAAAACACCUUGCCUACUUCAGUUGAUCAGGGGGACGAACAUCUAGCUAAUGAUCCUUUGGGUAAUUUUCAUGAAAAUCCUGCUAUAAAUUUUGGUGGAAAUCCUAUUUUGCGUCAUGAUUUUAUGCAGCAACAAGAGACAAACACAGAACACGAGGAGGAUCCAGGUGCUGCACCAGAUUCUGAUGGCAGCGAUCCCGAAGGCGAUCCGCCCUCGCCUGUCGCGCCAGGCAGUGGCGGCGUAUCCGCCUCGGGGCCAGGCGGGCCAUCGCCAGGCGGCCACACGUCUCCCCGCGGCCCAGCGGGCGCAACAGCAACGUCUCGUGGCGGGCCCCAUACUAGUGGUGGGCCAUCUGCCUCGCCAUCUGCGUCGACGCGCCCGACCGGGCGGUCCCUCGACUUCGCCAACCAACCAACUGGGCAUCGCCAAGUGGCCCAGCCCGAUGCAGAUGCGGGAACGGGCGCGCGUGCACCGCCGCCAGCCUCCGACAGCAUCCGCCUUCGACCGGGUGUUGUUGGAUCACGCGCUGCUGCCUCGGACUCCGCCGGAUCCUCUGUGCCACGUGAUUUUGCUGCAGUUUCUGUGCCAGCGCUGAGAACACGGUCACAAAAUGGAGUUGCCAAACCAAAAAUUCGUACUGAUGGUACGGUCAGGUAUGACAAGCGUUUUGGAGGGCUUGCUGUCACGGGUGAACCCAACAAUUUAAAUGAGGCUUUUGAAAGUAAAAAUUGGAAAAAUGCUAUGGAUGAGGAAUAUAAUGCUCUUGUUCACAAUAGGACUUGUAGUCCCUCCAUCAAGGGGGAGAAAUAUCAUUGAUUGUAAAUGGGUUUAUAGAAUUAAACGGAAAGCUAAUGGAGAGAUAGACAGGUACAAGGCUAGACUAGUGGCAAAAGGUUUCAAACAAAGAUAUGGAAUAGAGUAUGAGGAUACUUUUAGCCCCAUUGUUAAAGCAGCUACUGUCAGACUUGUUCUCUCUGUUGCAGUAUCAAACUAUUGGAGUCUUCGUCAAUUGGAUGUGCAGAAUGCGUUCCUUCAUGGCGUUCUAGAGGAGGAAGUUUACAUGAAACAACCACCUGGGUAUGAGGGAAAAGGCAAGCAAUAUUAUGUUUGCAAACUUGAUAAAGCAUUAUAUGGCUUAAAACAGGCGCCCAGAGCAUAGUACUCUAGGUUGAGUGUAAAGCUUCAAAGGCUUUGGUUUUCGACCCUCAAAGGCAGAUACAUCUCUCUUCUUCUAUAAAAGAGGCAAAGUGAUCAUUUUUAUGUUGGUAUAUGUUGAUGACAUAAUUGUGGCUAGCUCAUCACAGGAAGCAACUAAUGCACUAUUAGAAGAUCUUAAGAAGGAUUUUGCUCUAAAAGAUCUUGGUGACCUGCAUUACUUCUUGGGCAUAGAAGUAAAGAAGGUAACAGAUGGUAUACUUCUAAGUCAAGAAAAGUAUGUGUCAGAUAUACUGAAGAGAUCAGGUAUGAUGAAUUGUAAAAUUUCAAAUAUGCCUCUUUCAACUACUGAAAAAUUGUCAAAAGAAGAGGGUGAGCUUUUGGGAGCCGAAGGAGCUACAAAUUAUAGAAGUGUUGUAGGUGCUCUGCAAUACUUAACACUUACAAGACCUGACAUAUGUUUUCCUGUCAAUAAAGUAUGCCAGUUUUUGCAUGCUCCUACUCUUCAACAUUAGACUGCAGUUAAAAGGAUUCUGAGAUAUCUCAGAGGUACUAUGAGUACAGGGUUAAAAUUCACAAAAUCAACCUCAACUCUGGUAAGUGCCUUCUCUGAUGCAGAUUGGGCAGGCUGUCCUGAUGACAGAAGGUCUAUAGGAGGCUUUGCAGUUUUCUUUGGACCAAACCUUAUAUCGUGGAGUGCAAGGAAGCAAGCAACUGUGUCAAGAUCUAGCACUGAAGCUGAAUAUAAAGCUUUGGCUAAUGCAACAACUGAGUUACUAUGGGUUCAAGCAUUGCUCAAUGAACUUGGCGUAAAACACUCCUCUGUUGCACACUUAUGGUGUGAUAACAUUGGUGCUACUUAUCUAUCAGCAAAUCCAGUGUUCCAUGCAAGGACAAAACACAUUGAGGUUGAUUAUCACUUUGUUCGUGAAAGAGUAGCCAAGAAGCUACUAGACAUACGAUUCAUCUCUACAAAUGAUCAAGUUGCAGAUGGGUUUACCAAGGCCCUGUCAUGGAGCAAGUUGGAAGAGUUCAAGAACAAUCUCAACUUGGUGAAGUUGUGAUUGAGGGGGCGUGUUAAAGUGUAUAUUGUAAACGUAUGUACAGUAUGUGUAUAAACCGUACAUACGAGAUAAGGGUUGCGUUGCGUCUUGUAAUCCGGUUGUUAGAGUGGUUAUAGAUAAUCUUGUAUAUCUCUUGUAUAGAUCAUUACUUGGAGAUCAAUCUAGCAACUACCUAACCACCAAACCCUGUAAUCUAUGUGCCUAUAUAAACACGCAGCGCGUCCCUGCUAAGGCAUACGCUUCACGCCACUUUUACAAUUUUCACCUUUGUCAAAGCAUUCAUAUUAUCCAUGAGCUGCUGGUGUCGACUGCAAGAAGUAAACAUCAUAAUGCUUUUCCUUCUCCUUGAUGCAGGAGUAAACCGCCACUAGCCAGCCAAUUAGCCAAAGCUCAGAUGCAACCUUGGGAGGUGAGGAAAUUAUAAAUAGUCGAAGGAGGCUUAGAGGUAACUAAUCUACUAGAGUACUAAAGAACUGCAAGCAUCCUCAAUCUCGAUCCAAAGCUGCCACACAAUAUCAUAUGUUUUUUAACUUAUCUCCCGUUUCUCCACCAUUGAUCCAAGCAGUGCCUGUAUUAGUUUAACAUAGCAGUUUGGCUUGCUGUCGAUGGGCACUGCUUUCCUGCCAAUUUGAAAAAGAAAAUGUUACAUUAGAUGCACUAAUCAACUCUUGACCUUUGACGCCUUGUCUCUGGGUUAAUAGCCUCACCGAUCCAAUCGCAGGCCAUGCAUUAGUAGUUUGCUUCAACUUGGCAGUCUAGCACGCAGUAAGGAUCAACUUUACAUUUGCAUUGACUCGAAACAGGUGAUGCUAUCGUUCAAUAGACUAAUGAACUCACAAGCCUUUGACACCACAUCUACCAAAAUAGUUACAUUUUUACAAGAUGAAAAUCACGCACCAUCAGAUCAAGAGGAUUGGUCGAGUGAUUGUCGAUCAACAAAUCAUGGUGAAAAUUAUGAAAAGUUAUUGUACUCCAGUUACAAAAUUAUAUAAAUAUCUGAGUUGGUCGUUGUCCCUUGAUACACGGAAGCUACCUCUUAAGUUGCGAAAAAUAAUUUCCCCGAACUAUGAUAUAUCUAGCCUACAACUAAGCACUGCAAUCCAGACACAAGCCAAAACUCGAAUGUAGAAAUAAAAUGUGUUCCGAUAUAGUAGCCAGCAAAAGAUCACAGUGGCUACUUUGUGGGCCUUUUGGGUGUCAGCAGUUUGUACCGGGUAGUUCCAGCACGCCUCGAUCUUGGCGUGGCAUGCCAAGCCUCAGAUGCAACCUUGGGAGGGGAGAAAAAUAUGAAAUCCAUGCGCGGGGCUCAUGCUCAGCAAGUGUGCAGAGUUCACAAGAUAGUGGUUGCCCUUCCCUAAUGGCUAGCCCCAGCAUGCAUUUGCAUCCAUACUCGCGACCUUAGAGCAAGCAUCAGGAAACACACCAUCUUGUCGUGCCUGGCAACCUGCUCUGCCAGUUGUUAAACUUAUCUCCCUAUUUGCAAAGCUGCAGGGGCGGUGCAUUGUGAGACACAUGAUGCGGGUCGGCUUCCCAUUUGAUUCGAAACGGACGGUGCUACCGUUGGAUCCAAUCGAUGCUCCACCCGAUCCAGUCAGAAGGAGGAGUUGUGGAGGAGGUAGAGAAAUAACGCGGAGCAGAAAGGCAAAAGAACGAGGAGAGGAAAAAUGAGUCUUUUCGCACUUAGGUGCCGUGCCCGGUGUGACUGGCGAGCUCAACAGCAACCAGCCAGCCACCACCGAUGGCUUACCGAUGCUAUACAGACUUAAAGAGCGGUCCCAAUAAAUUAUCAAAACUUAAUAUACACUUAGUUACAACGAAAUAUCAAUAUAUGAGUUGCUUAAUGUCCCUUCACCGUUGAGUCAGAGGCUACCUCUUAAGUUGUCUAGAAAUUAAUUAACACAACUAUCAUACGUUUUUACCCCAGGAAAAAAUACAUUAUAUAUAGUAGCUAGAGGGAUGCAUCAAGAUCUUGUGAUUAGCUGAGUCGAUUUAUACUUAUUUUGAGAAGAAUAAUAUUUGCACAAAAUUAGUGACUAUGAUGAGAAAAGCGGCUUAAGCAACCGAUGUCAUUACUAAAAACUUCUCAGAAAAUGCAUGAGCAUUCAACUUCUGUUGCGGUGCACAAAUAUUUAGGUUGUUUCAACUUAAUAACUCCUAGAAAGUCAAAAUGUUUUGGAUGUUUCUUCGGGCACUUUUUUGAAGAGUUUUUCUUAAGCCCAACAGGAGAUUUGUUGGUAUUCAUUGAUAUGAAUUUGGUCCCAAAGUGAUGAAUAUCCAAGAGAGAUAUAAUAAACACUCUCAUGAAAAGAUCUUGGAUAUGACAAGUUUGAUUCCUUGCAAUAGUUUUGCGAUAUGGAGAUGAUAAUAUGUGAGUCAUGUUGGUGAGUAAUUGUGGUUUAGUAAAAAUAUUGGUGUUUAGGUUUGUGAUUCCCUAUGCAAUCAUGUAAAGUGAAUAGUUAUGCAACGAUGGUAUAUCCUACUAAUGAUGCAUUAUUCAGUGCUAGUUAUGUUUAAUGCAUAUUUACGACCGUUUUUGUUUUUUGGUUGGUCGAUUUUCAAUCUAUUUGCUAGCCUUCAUUUGUACUAAGAGGGAAUGUUGCUUGUGCAUCCAACUCCUUUAACCAAAGUUGUGCCCAAUGAGUCCACCAUACCUACCUACAUGCGGUAUUUCCAUGUCUUUCUAAGUAAAUUUGCAUGUGCCAACUCUAUGUUCUCAAAAUAAUUUUCCGUUUUGUGUGCCGGUGCCGCUCAUGAAGCGGCAGGGGUGGCCAAUAUUUCCACGCUAGGUAUUUUAUUCUCACGAUGAGUAUUUAUUCACUUGUCAUUGCACGAGAGUGUGGCAGGUAAGAGAGAUGCCCAACUCCAAAAUGAUUUUUUAAUAUGAUGCUAGUAAUAAAUUUCUUGGAAAAUGUUGGUAUGGAAGGCACCCGUGGAUAUGGCUAGCCAAGGAUUGUGAAAAGAAUGGUGAAAAAGAAAUAAACUUUAUUUUCUGUUAGGGAACCGCCUAUAAUUUAUCUAGCAUGAAAUAUAUUGGGAAUUCUCGGUCGUUUCCGUUGACAGGAAAAGCAUGCCUCUCUAACUAAUUUUAUCUCUCAAUUUAAACCUUGAGCUCUAGCACAUCUGCAAAUCUCUGCUUCCAUCUGCGAAGGGCCUGCCUAUUUACUUUUAUGCAUUUUUUAUUUUGAGUCUCCAUCUUCUCUUACAAAGCACCAACUAGGAAAAACUAUUGUCAUACUUGUGCACUGAUGUAGCUAAUGUUUGAGUAUAUUUCAUGAAUGGAUCAAUGAUUGAGCAUAGUGUUGACGCUCAAAAGUGGCACGAUCAUAAAGAGUAGCUUGAAGCUAUGUUAAGAUUAAUUCAAACUUAUUACUGAAAUUCACCAUGGAAUGGCUCUCAUCGAGAAGAUCAACAUGGAUAUAAAGAUGAUCUAAAAUGGAGCUCGGAGUUUGAGGGUGGCGAUGGCUGAUCCGACGAGGGAGGAGGUUGUAGGUGGCGGUGGCUAGGGGAACAAAUGCACUAGGAUUUAGGGUUUGGGUCUAUAAAUGGACUAGGGGGUCUAUAAAUAAGGAAAAUGAGGGAGUUUGGAUCCUCCGAUCAAAAUCGGACAGUCAAGGUAAAUAGAUUAGGUAGACCAAAAGAGAAACCGAUGAUGUUUUAGGGAUGUUUGGGGAUGAUCUGGACCCAUCGGUAAUGACAACCCGGUUCGGGUUCGGGACAGCUUUCGGACGCGCACGAGGGCUGGAUAUGGAGAGAGGUUAUGUGGUUUGACAAGAGGUAAUCGAAAACCCAGUUGGUCUCGGAACGGUCAACGAAGGCAAGGCGGUCCGAGAGAAGGUGGUGAAGGCAAAGGGAGAAACGACAACGACGAACGAAUGCAUGUUUUAUGAAAACAUGACAGCAGUGAAGUGCCGAUGCAAUGCAAAUGAUGACACGAUGAAAGGCAACCAGCAAAAUAAAACCCACGGCGACAACGAAAAUAACUAGAAGGCAUCUGGAGCGUCGGUCUUGGGCUGUUACAUGAUGGCCAUCAAGGGGUUCAUCGAGAGAUGCACCAAUUUCACAACAUCACUUGCACUCUCACUAAAUCUCAGUGGUGAACGGUCUCAAAACUUGAUGAAUUUCUCGCUAAAACUAGCAAAUCCUAUUAUGUCAGCUCACUCAAGCUACAAGGAGACAACAUAUUCAGCCUGCUUCCCUUUGUGAUUGAAGGUUGACAUUAUUGCUGCCCUGAGCGGAAUGUGCAGCCUGAAGCAGCUGAAGCUGACUGCAACUCAACUGGACAAGCAUAUCAUCGGAAAAGGUGCAUUCAGAAUCCUGCAACACCUAUGCAUCACGGUGGAAGUGAUAAUUAACUAAGCUGGGCAUCUAAGACGGAGCUCCGGUUGCUUUGUAAAAGAAUCUAGAUGGCUUUCCGGCACAUCGAAGAUCAAGUACUUUAAACAUCUCAAGGAGCAGCAAAACAUAAGUGGAAAGAAGUGGGUGGUGAAGUAGGUGGGUGGUGACACAAAACAUAAGUGAAAAGAAGCAGCAAGGAAACAUCCAAGACGUCGCAAGGUCUUUCUUUUUCUAGACAGCACUAACAUCCUUGAGAAGUGGGUGGUGAAGUAGGUGGGUAAUGAAGCGUGAUGCACUUGCUUACUACUCCUAUUAAUUUGCAUUGGCUGCUUCCUCCUCUCCUUUUCUAUAUUUGGUUAUUUCGGUUCUAAUCAACUUAAUUGGCUUCUAUUAUUUCUCACAAGUUUAGGACUACAAUAUCCUAGUAGUCCCUCCGUCCGGAAAUACUUGUCAUCAAAAUGGAUAAAAAGGGAUGUAUCUAGAUGUAUUUUAGUUCUAGAUAUAUACAUCUCUUUUUGUUCAUUUUGAUGACAAGUAUUUUCUAGUGAGCUGCUCGUCAAAUUAGCUAGUACAACUGGGCAAACGGACGUGGGUGGAUCAACCGCCUCUCUGGCCCUGGAAGCUACCCAGGGGACCGGCGACGUGAUGCCUUAGAUCUUUUAUAAUUGUGGUGUCGGAAAAAUUAAUAUUCUAGACACCUUAAUUUGUGGUUUGCUGGGCUUUGAGAAGUUUACGUGUCCUCAAUACACCUGUCAUUUGUAAUAAUACAGUACCAAGAGGUAGUCAAGACAUGGAGCAUACACAUGUUCAAAUUAUUUGAGAAAAAUAAAACAGAAGACAUGGCAUCAAACAAGUGAUGAGAAGAAUGCUAAUCAAAGGACGUGCACGUAUUUUAAGUUUCAAUAUAAUACUUGAGACGAAGUACAGCCUUUUCAAAUCAAGAGCAGAUAAGAAUCGGAUGAGCAAGACUGGUAAGCUAUCUCAAAAAAAAAAAAAGAGAGUCCAAUUCCAAGUGUUUGAAACUAUGUAGUGUGAGCAGCAGAGGCCAAGGUAAUUAACAAGACAAAGCAGUGUGAGCGUCCGAGGAAUUAACAAGAGGCAGGCACGACAGUAGAGGCACAUGAGCCAGUGCGAUGCAUGUGAUAAUGUAAGGAGGCACCACUUCUCCCCGUCCCGAUCUGCUUCCGCCCUCCCCUCGCCAGAACGCUACUAGCCACACUCUCUCUUGAGGCCGCCAGACAUGUACGAGUACGACCCUGGAGGCAGCUCCUCGUCCCGGCCGCACGGCAAGGAGGAGCUGAAGCCGGAAGUGGUUCUCUACACGGCGUCCGCGUCCGCCGACCUCUACUCCUUGCGCGCCCUGCUGCGGGGUUACGGCCUGGCCAUGGACGAGCGCCAUGUGUCCAGGAGCAACAAAGCGCACCACGGCGAGCUCAAGUCGUUGCUUGCGGCUCGGGCCUGCGUCUUCUCCCUCCCGCAGCUCCUCGUGGGCGGCCCUAAAGAUGUUAGGCAGCUGCACCGGGCCGGCGGGCUGCGGCCUCUCCUCGACGGCGCCCCAAGGCCGUACGCCGCCUUCGUCUGCCAAGCCUGUAAGAGGGUCGGCUCCGAGCCCUGCCCAAAGUGCAGCGAGUCCCGCAACAAGAUGCUGGAUCACGGCGUUAUUGCCGACGAGCAGGACAAGGUUGUCCAUUUUUAUCCAACCCAAGGUGACACUUCGCUUCUCUCCUUCCUAUCCUUCCUAUACAAAAAAGAAAAGAAAAACUUCAAGGCAUACCACUAGCCACGCUCACCAUAACUUUGUGUCUACUUAUAUAUUUGGGACAUUUGCAUUUCUGCCCCUAACUCAAACCACCUACUCAGAUUUGCCUCUAAUUUCAAAGCAUGCUCAAAUUUGCCCCCCUGCCGUUAAGUCACUACUCAGAAAUGCCCUUCCGUCCAGUCAAAGGUCUUUGACCGUCAAAGGCCCAUGUGUACUGUAGCAGACGGAAAGUGCUACAAUAUUGGUUGGAAAGUGCUACAGUAUUGUACUAAAGGGCAUUUCUGAGUAGUGACUUAACGGCGGAGGGGCAAAUUUGAGCAUGCUUCAAAAUUAGGGGCAAAUCUGAGUAGUGGGUUCGAGUUAGAGGCACAGAUGUAAAUUAUAUUUUGCACCAAUACCCAUAAAAAAGGACCUUGCGUUGUCAACACCUCCAGGUUGCCAGCGCUAGACGCUCCUUCUUUGUAUCUCCUCCUCUCACCAGUGUCGAUGCGCUACUUGGCAUAAGCUCCAUGGUGGGUGGCGGCGGGCUUGCCUCUGAUGAGGGGAGUGGAAGGUCAUAGCAUCGUGGGGCCAGGCAAGGCGGAGAUGAAGAGGGCAGUGUCCCUCGAUGGGAUUCUGACUAGCGCACCGUAGCAACAAACGGUAGCUCACCUACUCCAUUGUCUUCCAUUCCUGCAGCAGCAACAUCAGUUGACGUUUUUGUGCCGGCAUCCACACUACAUCGAUCGUAUUUCCCCGUGGUAGUGUGUGUGGACUCAUGUCAGCAUGGUGUCGGCUUUGGUAGCCAACGUCUGACGCAUCUGCGACAUCCAUGGAGCUAUGCAGUUGACAGUUUCAUGUCAAUCAGGCAGGUGGAACAUGUGCAGAUCGACUAGCGCUUCAUGUUGACUACCCAGCUUUUCGAUGAAACUAGCAUAUGCAAGCAAAAAUGUCGAUUUUUUUGUUCAAAUUUAUAUACUUGACUACACAAUCUAAAAAUGACUACACAAGGCUGCAGUUCUGGCGGCGCCACUGCAGUCAGUGACACAUGUCCUAUAGGUAGCAGUCCCAACCUCCAGAUGGCAUGGUGCAAUGGCGUUGUUUGCCCCCGCAUCCAGCUAGGAUAGAUUGACAAAUACGGUAGGAAACUCCCAGAUGGUGAUGAGGCAGUGGGCAGAAGUGAGACUAGGAGGCAGCCCUCAACAUGCUUCCAACGUUUUCUCCUACUCCCUCCGAUCCAUAUUACUUGUUGCUCGAACGGAUGUAUCUAGCUAGAUACAUCCGCUCGAUCGACAAGUAAUAUGGAUCGGAGGGAGUACAUUUUUUUCUCUUUAUGUAGGCUAAUUUGUUGAGCAUCAAUGCUUAACUUUUCUUGCCAUCACUGAAUAAUCAAUCAUAUAUGGUUGUGCACGUCAACCGAUCUAGAGGGCAGGGAUUGAUCUACCUUUUGAAUAAAUAUAAAAAAAGAAACCAACCCGGGUUAGACUAGCCUUGGCACUUUUUUUAUAGAAGAAAACUCCAUGAGCACCAAACGCUCAAGCCGAGUUGAACCCUGGUGGGCUGGCUGCGAACUCCCGCGCCUUACCAACUGAGCUACGCCCAGUUCUCACCUUUUGAAUAAAUAUCAAACCAAUAAUUAAUAAAAUGCCUAGGAUAUGACCCAACCAGUCGGGCGCCACCGGCCUUCCGCAUGAACAAAUUGCUUGGUGUUGGCUUGUAUUUUAGAUCCUCCAACCGAACAUAAAUAUAAAAUGUUUUUGAUAAUUUUAAUGUAGACCACAUGCAGGCUGAAAUGAGUGAACACCCACAAUUGAAGCUGAGGUUCAUGAGUGGAAUGGCUUGGCUAAGAUUUGAGGCGGAUGCAAUGACUAAUCUCUUGAAGCUCACGCUCGUUUUUGAUGCCAUCCCCCAAAUGGACCAACGGCUUGAACUUUUUUCAGAGUCUGAGCAGUGGAAACAAUAUCUACAUGGUACUGCAUUAAUCAGCAUCGAGCAUAUGACAGACCUUAGAGAGGUCUGCGCAAAAUUUGGGGCUGCAGCUGCUGAUCUAGAGUAUGUCUCCAGUAAUCAUCCUAUAAUUGACGUGCAACUGGUGGAUUCCGGUUCCCAUGGUGAUAAAAGGUAGUGCCAGCGCUGAGCUACAUGGUUGUUGUAAGUCUUCAAUUCUUAUACGUACUUAACUGUUCAUGCUCUAGACUUUUUGGUUGUGUGCAUCUAGCUAUGCAGAGGCUGGGCUUUCUUUCAAUACAAUUGUAUCACCUCGAUAUAUCUAUUCAAUGAAAAGUCCUUUAUCGAAAAAAACUGUUCAUGCUCUGACGAAGCUAUCAGUAAGGUCACCGGAGUCCACUUCCUGCCCGUUGCAUGUUCCAGGUAUAUAUACUUUUCUAACAGAGACAAGUUGCCAUCAGGAUAAGGUGAUAAAUUACCCAUCAAUUUGUUGACUUUUGUCAGGAGCAGGAGCUGGUGGAGAGGUUUCAUGGGGCAAUAUCAUUGGUGUGAUAGGUCAUGACCUCUUAAUCCAUUGCCUCCACCGCCUCUCCAGGUGGGAAUAUGGCGCCAUCGCCUCCCUCAACCGUGAUUUCAGUUCGGUGGUUCGCAGCGGAGACAUCUACCGCCUGCGUCGCAAGAAUGGGGUCAUAGAGCACUGGCUCUACCUCUCCUGCAAUAAUAAUCCCCACAAGUGGAAGGCUUGUGACCCGUCCACUGGGCGCUGGAUCCAAGUGCCCAAGAUGCCACCGACUCAAAGCUCCUACUGGGAUUCGCUUGCUGUAGGAACCGAGCUGCUGGUGUUUGGGGGCUACGGAAGGGUUGCCUUGAGAUAUAGCAUCCUUACCAAUUCAUGGACAUGGCUGGCUGAUGUGAUGAACAACCCGCGGUACUGGUUUGGGUCAGCAAGUGUCGGUGAAAAGGCGUAUGUCGCGGGAGGCAAGGAUUCUUCUUCUGGUAAUGUAUUAAGCUCUGCAGAGAUGUAUGACUCCGAGAAAUAUACUUGGACACCCCUUCCAAGCAUGAAUAGGGCUAGGUACGGAUGCUCUGGUGCGUUCAUGGAUGGCAAGUUCUAUGUGAUCGGUGGUGUUAGCAGUAGGCACGAGGUAUUGACAUGCGGUGAGGAGUAUGACUUGAACCGGCGGUCAUGGAGGGUCAUCGACAACAUGUCUCAGGGCCUCAACGAGACAAUCAUGGGGGCUCCUCUGCUACUUGCAGUUGUAAACAGUGAGCUUUAUGCUGCUGAUUACAGAGAGAAUAAUGAUUUGAAGCAGUAUGAUAAGCUGGACAACAAGUGGAUCACUCUUGGAAAAUUGCCUGUACGGUCUAAGUACAAAGAUGGCUGGGACAUGGGUUUCCGAGAAUGUGGUGACCGGCUGAUUGUUAUUGGGCCUCCAAACAAUUCUACUGAUGAAAAGGUGGUGGAGCUUCAUUCAUGGAUCCCGGAUGAGGAACCGCCUGUAUGCAAUUUGGUUGCAACUCAGCAAUUUACCAGUGAGGGGCCGUUUUUGUACUGCGCUGUGAUGGGUUGCUGAGUCAGUACACUGAAGAAUGACUGGCUGCAUGCAUAAUUACCAUGGUAUGAUCUUUUCUAUUAUGAACAAUACCUUGUAUUUCCAUGGUAUAUUGUCUUUAUCCAAUUUGCCCCAUGAUAUGCUUUUGUAGAGAUUGUGUUAUCCACUUCUGAGUUGGUAAUGAUACUCUGCUUCAAUAUGAAAUUUUAUUGUUUAUGUCAUAUGUUUUUUCACUGUUUCGGUCUUAGAUAUGAACUCAUGAUGGUCAUAUUCGUGGGGUUUGUUUGCCUGACAUCAUGUUUCUGUUCAUUUUUCCUUGCAGUGCUGCGAUCUGGGAGGGCCUUCUCAUGUCUGAAUUUCCUGGAAGCAUCAACUACAAAAAGAGAAGACAUCAAUAAAUUUCAGGUGGAACAGCCUGAACAAGCAUCCGGACAUUUUAGUUGCUAGAAGUUAAUUUUUGUUGCAAUUUGGAUUCCAAAAAAGUUUGGAUGCUUUCCACGGCAUUCUGAUGAUCUUCAUUUUCAUCACCAACUUUAAAUGUACUUUAUCUGUACCGUAGCACGUUACCGUCGGUUACGUUUGAACAUCAAGUUGAGUCUCUAGCUUGCCCUUUUCUUUCUUCUGAACAUUGUUCAAACUCUGAAUAAGAAACAAUUUGGAAAGCGCACAUCUAUUAUAGCUUACUGACUCAGCUGAGUAUGAUUUAAUAUCUUCUCGAAACGUUUGUGUGCAUUUCAUCUUACACGCACAGUUGCAAUGUGUCACAAGACUCACAGGCAUGCAAUGAACCUAGCGAGUCCGGAGUCCUGACAACAAAUCGGUGGUGACACUAGUAUCCCAACUACUGUAAAUAGUUCAAAUUGCCUGCUAUGUGCAGAUAUCCUGUAACUAAGAGAGAUGGGCGAUGGAGAAUCGACAAUUUCGCAGGCUCUUCUGAGGAUUGAAUGGCCCAGAUUCAUGAUCCCUUAUUUUGGCUCUUCCAUCUCAUGCGGUCAUCCCUGCUAUGUACAGAUAUCCUGUAGCUAAGAGAGAUGGGCGAUGGACUGUAUCUUCACUAACAUCUCCAUCGUACAACUGAAGAUCAUGCCUGCGACAUCCGCCGGAGAGUCCUUCUGAAGUCUGAAUCCCUGUCAUAUAUUUCAAUCAUGUCUUCUGUAUUGAGGAGAAAAUAACCAAAGAUAUGGCAAGGUUUUUCUGUACAGUUCAGAUGCACCUGUCCUGAUGUAUUUCUUUCCUGCUGCAUUUUGGUUGCUAUAAGAACGUUCGGAUUAGGUAUUUAGCUGUUUCCUUAGUAUUGUUCGGCUUCUACAAACAUCUCAGACAAGAUCUGCCUCUGCCUGUAUCCACUUUAGGCCUUUCUGUUCAGGCUAUGUAUAGCGCCAUUGUCUAUUUUGUGGUCUGUACUCGGUUAGCUGCAUUUCUUGUGAGUUGCGACACUUAACACAUUGUGAUGGUGUAUAUGAUGAUCAUUAGUUUGAGGAGGCGACAUCUCUGUCUGUUCCCAAGUUGACCUGACGCCUGAAACCUUAAGCUACAGGAAAGUAAUCAGAGUUGAGAAAACAGAGCAAAUGCAGAGGAAAGCCCUACAGCUCAAGAGACAGACAUAAUUCGCAGCAUCGCCAUCAAGGGAUCUCCGGCAGGCAAGCUUCACGACUUCACGGUCGUUGUGCGCGAAAAAAACAUCGUGCUGCUGUAUCAUUCUGCUUCAUGAAGACACUUAGGUAAUUUUAGACACUCCAUUACAUAUGAUCUGAGUAAUAAAGUAGCUAGAGUACUUGGUAAAUUUACCAACUGGUAAGCCUAUCUAUGAAAUCAAUAAACUAAUGGGCAGCAUAUACUGUGAGAUGAUUUUAGUGCAUUACUGCUUCCUGCCUAUAUAAGUGCAUUAGGAUUAUUAGUGCGGUGAAGAAAUGAAAAAACUGGGUUACUUCUCCACUGCCGCAAAGGCGCACAGCUAGUACAGGCCGUGCUUCUCCGGGAGCAGAAAAUCGGGAAGGUUUUGCAUAUAUCUGGAUCAUAUAUACUCACUGACUGCAAAUCUUUUACAUACAUUAUUUUAGUCUUGAAUGAUUCAUAAUCUUGUUUAACCACAUCAUACACUUGACCGAGGAUUGGCUUUUACAAACUAGUACUCCCUCCAUAAACUAAUAUAAAAGCGUUUAGAUCACUAAAAUAGUAAUCUAAACACUCUUAUAUUAGUUCACAGAGGGAGUACAUGAGACAGACGGAGUAUUAUCUUAGUCUUGGAUGCUUUAAAGUCCGAGCGACAUGACUCGUUCAGCUGCCUGGUUUGGUCUAUGUAUCCAUCGAAUGUUUGGAAGCUAGUACAACAUUUCUGUGCCGUGUGAGACAGGCAACUCAGCCAUCCUCAAAUCAGUAUGCAUAUGCCUCCAACACGAAUGACUUGACCACUUAGCUGGAGCUUUUCCAUAACUGUCCUGACUACACUCCAUCAAGCAUGGCAUGUUCUGCAGAAUUCCGUGGCCACGGUUGUUCUCUUCUUUGACGUCUAUUCUCCGUUAACAUAUCGACAGAUGUGUGCUCGGCUAUUUAAUGAGCUGCCAUCCGUACUCAUAACCAGAACCAGAGCCAGAGCCAAUUCCAUCCGAGCUAGCUAGUCAUGGAGAUGGAGCCACCACCCAAAAUGCUUGCCACUCUCAUCAUCACCAUACUAUUGAUGAUCAUGAUGGACACCUCUGCCGCGCUUGCCUCGGAUGCAGUGGUGCUUAGAGGACAAGCAAGAGCACUCCUCGUCUGGAAAGAUAGCCUCGACAACCAAAGCCAGCACGCCCUGCGGUCCUGGGGAAACACGUCAGCACCCUGCAAUUGGCGAGGCAUCACUUGCGGUAGCAGUGUGCACUGGCGUCGGCGGCGGCCUGUGAUCACUGGCAUCUCUCUGCGCGACAUGCAAUUGGGAGGGACGCUGGAGUCCCUCAACUUCUCGGCCUUGAGGACCCUGACGCGCCUCGACCUGUCAAGCAAUCAGUUGGUUGGUCAUAUCCCUUGUGAAAUAGGACACAUGAAACACUUAGUUGCAUUAAAGUUGUCUAGUAAUAAUCUUUCCAGUAAAAUACCGAAUAGCAUAGGUGGUUUGACCAAACUCACUUCCUUAUACCUUUACGGUAACCAACUUUAUGGACAAAUUCCACGAGAACUGGGUUACCUUCUAAACUUAGAGGACCUGCAACUUGGCACCAACACACUCUCAGGUUCCAUUCCAAGAAAUUUACGUAAUUUGACCAAGCUCGCCGUGUUAAGUCUCUGGGGCAACGAACUUUCUGGGCUAAUUCCACAGGAAUUAGAUUACCUUGGGAGCUUGCAGUACCUGGAUCUUAGUGAAAACAUACUCUCAAGUUCUAUCCCAAAUAGCCUAGGCAAUUUGACAAAACUCACUACCUUGUACCUUUUUCAAAACCAACUUUCUGGACAGAUCCCUCGAGAACUAGGUUACCUUGAGAACUUAGGAGAGGUAGUACUUAGAGACAACACACUAACUGGUUCCAUCCCAAAUAGCAUAAGUAAUUUGACCAAACUCACAGAUUUGAACCUUUUCAGCAACCAACUUUCUGGACAAAUCCCUCGAGAACUAGGUUACCUUGAGAAGUUACGGUACUUGGAGCUUGAGAAUAACCAACUUUCUGGACACAUCCCUCAAGGACUAGGGUAUUUAGUCAACUUAGACUACUUGUAUCUUAGCUACAACACACUGACAGGUUCCAUCCCAGAAGACCUAGGCAAUCUCACACAACUCCGUUACUUGUACCUUGACAAUAACAAACUUUCCGGCCACAUUCCCCGAGAAUUAGGCUAUUCAGUCAACUUAGAUGACUUGUCUUUUAGAAAUAAUGCACUAUCAGGUCCCAUCCCAAGUAGCCUUGGCAAUCUGACAAAACUUUAUAAAUUAGACUUUGGGCAGAACCAACUUUCUGGGCAGAUUUCAUGUGGAUAGGUUGGUUGUUGAAUAUAAAGUACUUUUAGAGCUUAGUAACAACACACUUAACAGAUUUCAUCACAAACAGCCUAGACUAUCUUGUAGUAGAAUUAUGUUGACAAGAAGUAGAAGGUGCACCAUCCUCAUCGACCCCUGCUGCUGCUUCUCUCCCGCACGGGACCAAACCCCUGCGCCAGCUCCGCUGCCGUGGCACAAGCACCUCCUCACGGUGGCCGACUGCACCUGCUCCUCUCCUGCACUCGUCCUCCUCGCAGAAAAAAAGAAGGCCCACGCCCUCGCCGCUUGGUCACUUGACACCGGCGCGCUCACCAGCGACUAGGCCACCGUCGCCACGGCGUCUGCGCCAGUGGCCCUCGCCGCCUUCUUCGACUGCUGCACGACCCCUCUCGCCUGUGCCACCGAUGUCGUUGACCUGCUCUCAUGCGAGGACGCGCGCCUGGGCCGUCCCCAAAGUGCCCGUCGGGUCCAAGGACAGGGCCGACGUCGCCACCAACCUCAGGAGUGAGGAGGCUCCUACUAGGGUCCUCCAACCGCGCGGCCACCGGCGUCCCUACAGCGGUCUUGUUCUCCAAGGUGCCCGCCGUGCACGGGGCCUUCCGGGAUUCGGCAUGGGUACUGAAGCUCGGGAACCAAGGAGGAGACAUUGAUACUGAUGACACUGGUGCAACCUCAGUACUGCUCCCUGCACUUGUCCUAAACUGGAGUCCCUAUAGAGACUACAGGGUAAAGUGAAGAAAGCUACGGAGAGCAGUGAAGAGGAGGAGAUUCCCUAACGUUCCCAAGGUACUAUGAAUUAAUGAACCAUUUUGCACGGUCUGGUUACGUAUGUUGAGUAGAUUUCAGAAGCAUCUUGAACAAAUAGCCACUCAAUUUUGUAGGGCCUUUCUGUCGGAAUGAUUGUCAGAAAGCUCUUUUUACCGGUGCAGGUAGCUACCGGCGAAUCAUCCACCGCUCACAUGCGCAGUGAUUCGUGCUAUAGGGAGCCCACAGACAAUGUAUAGAUGUGUAUAAUAACAACCCAUCUCUUGUAUCUUAAUUAAUAGUCAAAUCAAUGUCAGAUGAAAGGGACCCAUGUCAACAAUAAAGUUGUACUUGACGCAUCCAUGGUCCGUUCUCUCUCCUCAUUCUCACGUACGGAAGAUGCAUCACAUGCCAGAGUAAUUCAUGCCCUUUAUUUUCUCUUUGGCAAUUUCAUUCAUUCAUAUAUUUUAAACUGCAACUUCAUUUUUGAAACAUUUUAUAUAUUUGAACUCCUGAUGCCAAGACCUUCAGAACAAGAUUAAUCUUGAAAACAUUCGAACAUCUUUUAGUUUCAACGUUUCAAAUGAGUGAAACAUGUUUUGUGGAAUACAUGAAAUAAGUAUUUGAGCGAACCCAAAAUUAUCAUUUACAAAUGAGAAAAAUCUAUUUUAUGAAGCGAGUGAAAUU
rnacentral:lncRNA from 1 species